rnacentral:lncRNA from 1 species
GUCCUUAUAUAUAGCUUCUAUAUGUAUGUAUUUAUGUGAUAUGCACUGCUGUAUUUUAGAUCAUGUUGCCUUGCCUUGUCCUGUCUUUUAGAUCAUGUUUAUGUGAUAAGCACUGCUGUCUUUUAUGUUGGCUCGACCUGUAUUAUAUGAAUCCAUGACAGCUUCUUGUGAAUGUGCUGCUAUCCUUAUCUUCUUUCCUUUUUGUGCUCUUCUUUUUGUUACUCAAAUAAAUCUGUAAUCAUUUUUUUGUGAGAAAAAUAAAUCUGUAACUUAGCUAGGCUAACAUCAAUCAACAGGUGUUGCAGUACUACAAACAAUCUGCUUGACAAAACCUUCCCCCAGAUAGGGUUUUAUUGGUGGCGACCACGCCUGUAUCUAUGGAUAAUUGUACAACGUUGAGACACAUUGUACACUCUGUUAUUCAGCUAUGCUGCAAGGCAGCCUGCCUUACACUAGAAAUACACACAUGAUGUUCCCGACCCAAGUAUAGGUAUCUCUGAAGGCAGCCCACUACACAAUACACAUAAGCCACACUGACCCAAGGAUGUUUUACAAAGGGCAGCACAUCUCGAUACUCGAGCGUGGGUACUCAAUCCUGAUAACGAUCAAACGAGGUCUCCUCAAUCGGAAACGCCGAACAGACGGCUGGUUUUCUCAGUCUUGAGUUACUGACUGGACAAGUGCAAUCACUUGCUCGAUGCUCUCAAAUUGGCGGCGGCCCUUCAGGAUUGCCUUGCCACAAUCAAGCGCGCGGCACUCACAUGAUGCUCUCUUGCUGGCAUCCUCGAUUGAGUCAAAAUCCUCCACAUGGGCAAUUCCAACAAUUCUCCUGCACAGGGAGGAGCAAGUAUAGGAGCAAAAGUUGAGUGAAUUUUAGUCAGAGUCAGGAAUCAUGAGAUCAUGCAUAAGGCACAAAAAUAUGUGCAGAGACUGAAAUCAAUGUCCAAUGUGAUUUUUAGUUCUUAACAGGGUACAUUUGGUAAGCUAUCAUGCUUUUUUUUUCACUGCAUAGCAUUUCUGAAGCACAUUUCAUCAAAAAAAAUUCUUUUGUGCUGCGAUAAUUAAAUCUGGUCUUUCGGGUCAAAUGAAUUUUAUACUACUCCCUCUGUAACUUAAUAUAAGGUGUUUUUCAGUGUCAAAAAACGUCUUAUAUUAAGUUGCAGAGAGAGUAGUUCUUUACAUGGUACAUUUUGUAAGCUAUGUGUGCUUAUAUGUCACUGCAUAGCAUUGUGAAGACGGGAUGCCAUAUCGAAACUGAAAUCUGAAACCUAUGCAUUAGACUAACUUAAUGCACCUUGAGUCAUUUCAGUUAAAGAGAAGCAUUGAUGUAUCACCGUGGUCUAAGAGUAGAUUACAUUCAACAGAUAACCAAUAUAUUCAGAGAUUAUUUUUUUUGCGGUAUAUAUUCAGAGAUUUGGCAAGUACCUGAUCAUUUUGGCCGAACCAAAUCCAAGACUGUCAUGAAGUAAACCUGUCAUGUACUUCUUCUGUACAACGCUCAAAAGCUCCGGGUUGUUGUAUAUGGCAGGCAGGUAUGCCUCCCCAUUCCCAUCUUUGUGUUUAUUCCAAAGUCCCAGAAAUUUCUGCUGGAACAAAUUCCAUGAUUCUUCGAUCGUCUUCAAUAUCCAUUGCUUAUAAGCCUGCAAAAGAUGGGCAGUCCAAGCGCUUAUUUUAUUACAGGGACAACAAGAAAAAUAUCUUCAAGGAUGUGUUAUAGCAUGAACUGACACUUCUGCAACUGCCAAUACUGAAGAUGCCAGGGAUGCUUAUGGACUUGAAAUAAGGCAGGUUAUUCCAUACAAGGCAAUUAUUUGAGGUGCUAUACUCUUUCAGCCAACCACCCUCCUCUACAUGACAGCUACAGGACCUUCAUCAUCCUCCAGUAUCAAUUAUAUAUUCUUUUAGUAGAGAGGGACAUCAUAUUUAAGCUGGUAUAUGCCUUCUUUCAAAAAAGCAAUAUUCCAAACAUUUAUUCUAAUAAAGAAUUUCUAAAUAAAUAGUAAAUGGUGGAUAAGGUAAUCAGUAAUCACUCAGGAGCGCAUUAAAGAAACAUAGUACUCCCUCCGUCCGAAAAUACUUGUCAUCAAAAUGGACAAAAAGGGUUGUAUCUAGAACUAAAAUACAUCUAGAUACAUCCCCUUUUAUUCAUUUUGAUGACAAGUAUUUCUGGACGGAGGGAGUAUUAGUUAACAUAAAAGGCCUACCGUAAAAACAGCAUGUCAUACUCUACUAUAUUAAAGUAAAAAUAGGUGCCAGCAAGACAAGGUUAAAACUUAAGGCCAUAAUACUGUUAUACAUACCUUACGGUCAUUUGCUUCAUCAGCAUGCCCAUCCUGUGCGAAGUAGGCCAGAAUCAGGUUCCCCAAGAAGGCCCCAAUGUCGUAACCCAUCGGCGCGUAGAAGGCAAACUCCGGAUCAAUCACUUGAGUGGAAUCUGGGGUCACCAUGAUGGAACCAGUAUGGAGAUCACCAUGAAUCAGAGCCUGGGCUCUCUCAAUAAACCUGCAGUGUAAAAUUCAGAUAAGAAACACAACAUACGCAGCACCAACGAAUCUGCAUAAAUUCGGAGCUAGCCGAUUACAUGGACUUCAGUUCACCAAUCUCCAAUUUCAGCCCAUCAUCCUCCCGAACCGCUUCGGCGUCUUUGUCUAGAAGAGGCGAGUUCCAGCGAUUGUAUUUGGAGACCAUGUAUGGGUCCGAGAAGACGACCUGCUCCGUGAGCCUGCACAUCUCCACGUUCUCACAGUAGCGAGCAACUGCAAUUCACAUCAAGACACGCCAUGAAUUUCACCUCUUUCCCCCUUUUACAGGCAGAAGAAAAUUCAGAGGAGCAGAGCAGAGCAGCCCCGACCUUGCUUCUUGUGGUCGGUGGUGGAGUUGUAGAGGAGGGAGGUGAAGAAGAGGGUCUUGGCCAUGUAGUUGGCCAUGUGGUCGGCGAGGAGCGGGUACUGGACGCCGGCGAUGAGGCCCUUGCGGAGGAUGAUGUGGGGCGGCCUGAUGUAGCGCAUGCCGAUGAGCGACAUGGCGCGGUCGAAGUGGUAGACCUCCGGGACGUGGUCCGGGCAGAGGCGGCCGUGCUCCCGCAGCGCCGACGCCUCGAAGUAGGCCCGCUCCCUCGUCAUCGGCCACGAGUCCCCCACGCAGCGGAUGUACGGCAGCGCCUGAUCCGAUCCAUCCAGAACGCGUCAGUCAGGGGACGGGGAGGGAGGGGGAGAGGGGGACGGGGGACGGACCUGCUUGACGACGACGGAGCCGGCGUCGGAGGUAACGAUGUAGACGAAGUUGAGGUUGCCGUCGCCGACCUCCUUGACGGCGAGGCCGUCGACGCGGCCGCCGAGGCUGGCGGCCAGCGCCGGGGUCGCCCGGAUGUAGGCCACCAGCGACGCCUCGUCCAGCGGACGGAAGCCCUGCUCCUCGUCGCCGGCGGCCAUGGCGGGCGAGCUGGAUCGGGGGGGACUGAGGGAGUGGGGAGUCGCCGGGGUUUACGCUGUCGCGGCGGGUGUGUGGGUGCGGGAACAGAGACGCUGCCGCUCUGUAUUAAUAGUGCGUGCUCUGCACCUGGACGGGUAUCUGGCAAUAGUGACCACUUGCGUUGGAUUGGGAUGAUUAGGAUGAGGAUUCCCGUUGACUAGGAGAGCUAUUGAGAGCAGCCGCGUCCUGACUCUGGGCCCAUACAUUUUCUGAUGAGGAACAUAUAAACUUCUUGGUACAGUUUUAUUCCGAGGAAAGCAACCCUAUACACAUACUUUCUCCACAAAUGUACCUUCUCUUUGCCCCGCUCCGAUGGAUAGAACAUGAGCGUCUCGAAUUUCCUUGUUUUCACUAAUUUACAAGUCUUGUGGCUCGGGAAAAGGAGAACGAAGAGCUUCUAAGGGCAUGAAUUCCAUUGCUUCAUUGAUUUUGAGGAGAGAGGACUGGCGUGGUUUGGAGGGCGUUGGUUCAAGGACAAUAGAUGCGGAGAAAAGGACAGAAUCUUCACGAGAUACGCAAUGACAAUAGCAGUGAUGAGUAGGUGCCCAAUAGCUUGGUAUCUAGGCAAUGCAAAACGAUGUACUUUGUGGGGUUGUUUAGUAUGCUAUACCCGUCUCCACGUGGAGAGACAAUCGUUGCAAUCUCAUGGAAAGAGGUGAGCAAUGCAACACAAGUAGCAAGUUGGAUGGCACUGCUAACGCAGCAAGGGAAGAAGGCAAUUCCUUUUUUUUCUUUGUUUGCCUCCAAUAUCUCAAAGCUCACAAGUACGUUGAACGGAAGAGGGAAAUAGAUGUAAGCCCGACAUUACACAAUGGAAAGGACUAUCUCUCUCGACCUAGAGGCAAGUUCUCAAAACGUACAUAUAUAUAGGAUGGGGGUGUCAUUCUAGAUGUGUGAGUUUAGCAUUCAUUCAUGUAGUAUGUUUUUUGCGUGGUCAUUGAUAGAGUGUGAAUAUAAACUACAGUCUGCAGUCUAAAGCUAACAAAUGUUAUAUGUGUUUGGUGUUGGUUGUGACGUAGUGAGAAAUGCAUGUGAAAAAUGUGAUGAAACACAUGUAGUCAUAGAACUCGAAUCACACUUCAGUUUCCAACCGUCAAACACUUGCUAAGUCUAUUGGAAUGUCAAUUAUUUUAUUUAAAAUUUGAGGGGAAAAAAAGACUGGCAACUACCUUAACAAACAGGAAGGGAUGUUAACCAAUUCAGAAAAAUGACUCCCCAGUCUUAAGAAAUCCUCUAUAACACUAUGCUUCCUAGUUUUAAAGAACCUAUAUUCAAUUGAGGUCACCAAUUGAAGUUGAGUCACCCGAUUUUAACUAGGUCAACAAUUUCGCAAAGUCCUCUCAUUCAAUAUUUUAAACUAUAAACUGUGCUUUCUAGUUUUAAAGAACCUAUAUUCAAUUUUGAGGUCUCCAAUUGGAGUUGAGUCACCCAAUUCUAACCGGGUCAACAAUUUUGCAAAGCCAUCUCAUUCAGUAGUUUUAAACUAUAAAUUGCGAUUCCUAGUUUUAAAGAACCUAUAUUCAAUUGAGGUCUCCAAUUGGAGUUGAGUCACCCGAUUUUAACCGGGUCAACUAUUUCGCAAAGCCCUCUCAUUCAAUAUUUUUAACUAUAAAUUAUGCUUCCUAGUUUUUAAGACCUCACAAUUAGUUCGGGUCUUUAAUUUAGAAUUUGGUCACCCUAUUUUGACUAGGUCAAUGAUUUCUCUAAACUUUCAAUUUUGUACUAUACACUAUGUUUCCAAAUUUUCAAGGCCUCACAAUUAACUGAGCUCUUCAAUUUAGAAUUUGGUAACUCGAUUUUGACUGGGUCAACAAUUUCUCAAGGAGCUCCCCCAUUUGAUUAUUUUAAUUCACCAUGUUCCUAAAUUUUGAGACUCUUUCAUUCAAUUGAGGUAUUCAAUUUUAAAUUUUAGUAUUAAAUUAAAUAUCUUGAAUAAAAAAGGAAAUUAGCACAUUAAUCAUAAUCUUCAAAAGUAAUCUCAAAGCAUGCCCUGCCAGAACGAGCUGAACUUAAUCAAAAGGACAAGGUCCAUAAAAUAAAACAUGCAUCGCUUAUUUUUGUCCAUCAGGUCAAAUAUCACGAACACCACCUGCAAACAUCAAUGUAGAAUUGGACUGAGGGACUGAGGAGUCGCCGGGGACGCUGGGGUUUACGGUGUCAUGGAGGGUGUGCGCGUGCGAUAGCGAAGACGUUGCCACUCUGUAUUAAUAGUGUGUUUACUGUACCUGGAUGGGUAUCUGGCAAUAGUGACCACUUGCGUUGGAUUGGGAUCAGGAUUCCCGUUGACUAGGAGAGCUCUGAGAGCAACCGCACCGUGACUCUGGGCCAUACAUUUUUCUGAUGAACAACAUAUGAACUGUCUCUAGUAGUACUAGUAGAAUUUUAUUUGGGGUAAAGCAACCCAAUACAUUUUCUUCUGAAAGUUUUAGUCCAAAUGUACUUCUGUUUGCUCCGCUCCAAGGGAUAGAACAUGAGCGUCUCAAUUUCCCUUUUUCACUAAUUUAUAAAUCUUAUGCCACGCAAGAAAGAAAAUGAAGAGCUUCUGAGGGCAUGAAUUCCAUUGUUCCAUUAAUUUUGAGAGAUGCGGAAUAAUGCUGAUUGGAGGGUGUUGGGUUAAGAACAACAGAAUCGGAGAAAUUGGGUGAAUCUUCACGAGAUACGCAAUAACAAUAGCGGCAAUGAGGACCCGGAAGAUUGCUUGGUAACUAGGUAAUGCAAAACGUUGUACUUCGUAGGGUUCUCUAGUAUGCUAUUCUCAUCUUCCAACGGAGAGACAAUCGUCGCAAUCUCAUAGAAAGGCUUUGGCGAUGUAGCACAAGUAACGAGUUGGUUGUCAUGGCUAACGAAAGAUGAAGAGAAGGCAAAUCCUUCUUUUUCUUUGUUUUCCUCCAAUAUCUCAAAGCUCACCGGUACAUUGAACAAAAGAGGCAGAUAUAUGUAAGCGCGGCAUUGCACAAUGGCAAGAACAAUCUCUCUCGAUCUACAUGUAAUGCAAGUUCCUCAAAAUGUACAUAUAUAUAUAUAGGAUGGGGGUGUCAUUCUAGAAGUGUGAGUUUAGCAUUCAUUCAUGUAGUAUGUUCUUUGGGUGGUAACUGAAAAAAUGCAAAUAUAAACUACAGUUGAACACUAACAAAUGUUAUAUGUGUUUGGUGUUAGUUGUGAUAUAGCAAGAAAUGCAUGUGAAAAUGUGUGACGGAACACAUGUAGUCAUAAAACUUGAAUCACACUUCAAUCAAACCUUUACUCAGUCUAUCAGUACUCCUGCAAUGCCGAUUAUUCUAUUUAAAAUUUGAGAAAAAAAUUAUUAGCAACUUUCUUAAGAAAUGUUGACAAAUUCAGAGGAGGAGGGGAAGGGGAUAGUGCCAUAUGAUGGGAAUUUUGGCUGGUCUCAUGCCAUAGAUAAUUCUCACUGAGCAUAUGAAAUGAAAUUCACUUUAUAACCGAGACAGGGAAACUAAAAGUAUCCAAUAGCUAGGUCUAUUGUGCUAGCUGCCUUCAAGAACUCCCACGUCUACCAAAUCAAUAAAUCUCAUUGAACGUAUGAAAUGAAAUUCACUUUAUAACCGAGACAUGGAAACUAAAAGCAUCCAAUAGCUAGGUGUAUUGUGCUAGCUGCCUUGAAGAACUCCCACGUCUACCAAAUCAACAUGUUACCAUCCAAAUCACCUUCGGUGGAUGAAGAGACCAAGGAUAUGUUUGGUUGGUGGCCACAUGUGCCUCGCCAAAAUUUGGCAUCCUAUGGUAUUAUAGACCAUGCAUGGUCGUUGGCAAUUUUUUUUUCGAAAAACAUAGUACAGAUGAGGACGCUCACAACAUGCAUGCACACUCACUUCUAUGAGCACACGCACACAAAUCCUAUCCCUUUGAUGGAGCACCUCUGAGAGCCUGAGCCGACAGAUCUUGAGAUAGACAAAGUCGCAUAGUCUAUUAAAAGUCGCUCACAUAUCCCACAUGAUCGCCACAACUCUUGCCAAAAAUUUGGCCCAAAGGAGGCUAAGAAAUCUCCAACCAAUAUCUUUGUAUGGUUAAUGGUUGCUAAAAACUGGUAGGACAUAAGAUGGCAUGAACCGAACAUAAAGUUGAACAUAAAGCUUGAAACCAAAAGAUGUAUAAUUCACUAAUGAAACUAAAAUACGUACUAUUCACUAAGUUGAUGGUAGAUCAAAUCCUAGGCUUUGGCUUCCUCGUACAGUCAGUUCUGGUGCACAGUGUCCAUUCGAAAUGAUUGAGAUUUUGUCUGGUGUUCUUGUUUCAGUGGGUUGCAAAUUAUCGUGGCUUUAUCAAGUCCACGAGAUCGGCGACGAGCUGAUAAGGAACCGGUGCGACAGCUCUUUGGAUGGUCUUGGGACUUGUUCAAACCCGCCACCACUUCUUAUGUGGGAUUAUGUCACAACCCAAUCAAUUCUUAGCAGUGUAUGUGGCAUCCACAUACUACCACAUACGCAAACAUUGUAUACAUUGAUACAAUGAAUCAAGAUUUCGGUGGGAUCUCGAGGGGAUCACGAAGUUGGUAUCAAGGUGCUGGCUCUUUGAGUUGAUGACGAUAGCCGUCGGAGACGGAGUCAAGUUAGGUGGCACUCGAAGAUCGACGUACACGACUCCUGGGCUGGGAUGACAACACUUCGAGUUGGGUGGCGGCGGGGGUGGGAUGGCAACGCUUCAAGUCCUCGCGCAUGGGGGAUGGGGGAGAAGACGAGGAGGAAGUGACACUCGAUGGAUAGGAAGGGAGGAGCUAGGUUUCAUCGAUAAAAGACAAUGCUCCAUGGAAAGGACAAGGGAGGGCCUCGUGUUGUCCCAUUCCAAUCACCAAUGGGAAAGAAAGACACUAAUGUGUUCGAAGUGAUUGAGAUUUUGUCUGCGUCCUUGUUUCAGUGGGUUGCAAAUUAUCGUAGCUUUAUCAAGUCCACAAGAUCGGAGACGAGCUAAUAAGGAACUGGUGCGGGCCAGGAUGUAAAUGGACAGCUCUUUGGAUGUCCUUGUACUUGUUCAAACCCGCCACCACUUCUUAUGUGGGAUUAUGUCACAACCCAAUUAAUUCUUAGCAGCGUAUGUGGCAUCCACAUACUACCAAAUACGCAAACAUUGUAUACAUUGAUACAAUGAAUCAAGAUUUCGGUGGGAUCUAGAGGGGAUCACAAAGUUGGUAUCAAGGUGCUGGCUCUUUGAGUUGAUGACGAUAGCCGGGGGAGAUGGAGUCAAGUUUGGUUGCGCUCGGAGAUCGACGUACACGACUCCUGGGCUGGGAUGACAACACUUUGAGUGUACCCGGCGGGGGUGGGAUGGCAACCCUUCAAGUCCUCGCACACGGGGGAUGGGGGAGAAGACGAGGAGGAAGUGACACUCGAUGGAUAGGAAGGGAGGAGCUACGUUUCAUGGAUAAGAGCCGAUGCUCCAUGGAGAGAACAAGGGAGGGCCUGGUGUUGUCCCGUUCCAAUCACCGAUGGGAAAGAAAGACAACAAUGCCGCUAGAUGUUGUGGGUUUCAUGGCCUAUCCUGCAUACACCAUUUAAUCUUAUUGGCUAUCCCUGCUAGACUUAAUUUCACGGACGGCCUAUAAGAGCAUCUCUAGUGGAUGGUGUAUAUGGAGGUGGAUGCUAAAUAUACACGAUCAAAAUCAAAAAAUGUUUCCCAGUGGAUCGUGUAUCAGGUCGUGUACCUAUACACGUCGCUCCCACGAGCGUACCUGGCGUGGGACUAAACACGACCGAACCACGCUCGUGGCUCGUGAACAGAAGGGAAAAGAAGAGAAAAAAGCCUCCCGCUCCCGUUCCUCUCCGGCCGCCUCCCCAAGGUCGUCGUCGCCCCUCUCCGGCCGCCGCCCAAGGUCGCCGUCGCGUCUCCUCUCCGGCUGCUGCCCAAGGUAACCAUUUUUUUCCUUUCUCGCGAGCGGGAGCAGAGGGGCGGCAGCCGCACGUCCUGCAGCCCGAUCUGGCGGCGGCGCCGGUGCCGGCGCGCGCCCUGGUGAGAAUAGAGGGCGGGGACGGGGGGCUGGGCGACGAGUGGGGGCUGGGCGGCGGAGCGGUGGGGGGGAGGGGGAGAUGCAGGGGCGACGGCCGGGCGCGCCUGUCUGCUGGGGCGGCGGGACGAGCGGCGCCGUGGGGAGAUGCAGGGGUGGCGGCCUCUGGUGACCGGGCUGGCCUCUGCUGGAUCCUCUGCCUCUGGUGACCGGGCUGGCCUCUGCUUCCAGGUCCACAAUUUAAGAGGCAAUUUGGGUAAAUGGAUAGUAAAAUUGAUCAUAUGCACAAAGCAUAGAUCUUUGGAAGGAGAAGAAAAUAAUUUUUUGCUUGUCAGUUGAUGCCAGAUUGUGGUCUAAAAUAGCUGUGCAUUGGUUGCUUGCAGACGGAGACAGUUUGAAUUAGAUGAGAGGGUCAUGCUCAUCAACACAAGUGGUAUGACUGAUGUUCAAAAGCAGUUCUACCAAGCUAAGCAGAAGGAGAUCCUUGCUCGCGGCCUAGGGUAAUGUGAGCUAUAUGUUGUAGUUGUAAGAACUAUUUACUGCUUUCUGCUAGUUGAGGACAUGGAUUACAUCACUCAUUGCAUAAAUAUUUUUAUUGAUAGCUGCAUUACAAAGACAUGGAUUACUCGUUUUCAAACUUUUUCCACACAUGGUCAAUUAGAUCAAGUUUAAGCUGAUCAUGUUCAUCGAAAUUUCUAAUCCGAUGAGUCAUCUGAAUAAAAGAGCUCAGUUCUUCCGCAUGAGUACGAGAGACUGUGACUCUUUCUUCCGUUGCCUCAAAAGUGCAGCUUUGCCGACCAGUUUGUCGCUCCUCUUCAACUAUCAUAUUGUGCAUUAUGACACAAGCUUUCAUGACAUCAGUGAUUUCUUUACGUUUCCAUCCUUUAGCAGGUCCACGAACAAUGGCAAAACGGGAUUGCAGAACUCCAAAGGCUCGUUCCACAUCUUUCCUAGCCCCCUCUUGCUUCUUGGCAAAAGUUUUAUGCUUUCUGCUAGUUGGAGCUGGUAUGCUCUUCACAAAUGUUGCCCACCGUGGAUAGAUACCAUCUGCAAGGUAAUACCCCAUUGUGUACUGAUGGCCAUUGAUGCUAUAAUUCACUGGAGGAGUUUGGCCUUCGGCUAGCUUUGUAAAAAUAGGAGAACGUUAAAGAACAUUUAUAUCAUUCAGAGACCCUGGUAAACCAAAAUAAGCAUGCCAAAUCCAAAGAUCUUGUGAAGCAACUGCUUCCAAGAUCAUAGUGGGCUCGCUCACAUGGCCUUUAAACAUGCCAUGCCAUUUUUUGGGGCAAUUUUUCCACCCCCAGUGCAUGCAAUCUAUGCUCCCUAACAUACCGGGAAAUCCUCUUUCCUCCCCUAUUGCAAGUAACCUAGCAAUGUCUUCUUCAUUUGAAGAUCUCAGGUACUUUUCCCCAAAAACUUCACAAAUUUUGAUCACAAAUUUCUUGCAAGACUCUAAAUUAGUAGACUCAGCGGACCGGGUGUACUCAUCAACAUAAUCAGCUGCUAUUCCAUAUGUUAGUAUCCGCAUCGCCGCGGUCAUCUUUUGCAAAGGAUGUAACCCAAGAGCUCCAGAAGCACUUCUUUUUUGCGUAAAAUAAUCAUCAUAGUCAUGCUCAAGUAUACCAUCAGCUAUGCGGUUGAACAAAGUACGCGACAUCCUAAAUCUGUGCAUAAAAAUUAAAUGAGACAGGGAAAUGAAAAAAGGACCAAAGCAGAGAAGUGUACUAAUUACGAACCUUCGUCGAAACAAAUGUUUGGGAAAGCGAGGAACUUCUUUGAAGUAGUCGUCCCACUGAAGAAGAAAUCCGGCAUCUCUUCCUCGAUCGAUUGACUGACGUCCAUGCUUGGAACCGCCAUGGCGUCGAGCGUUCUUGCUCUCUUCCUCCUCGCGCUCGGCGAAUGCUGCAAGUAUGAGUUCAUCGUCGCCAGAUGAAGAUGACGAAGAACUUAUGUCCCAAGUGGAUGUGUUCAUUGUGUUGCGUGAGAAAUGAUAGAAAAAUCUAGGUGAGAAGAGAAGUCACAGGUAGAAAUGUGCUGGAAGAGGUGGUAGGGGUGGUUUAUAUAGAUCGGAAAUAUGGCGUUGGAAAUAUAGCUGUUUGAAAAUAUAGCCGUUGGAAUAUACACGUCUUAAUUUACACGUUUCACUGAAAAACUGGGAGGUGUAUAUUUUAGCAAGGUGUAUAUGGACAUGUAUAUAGAGAUAUAGACGUCCAAAUUUACACCAUCCACUAGGGACUGGUGGAAAAAGGGCCUUUGGUCGCGGUUCGCAACUGCCAUUAGUCGCGGUUGCGCAACCGCGACCGAACGGGCGCGACUAAAGGCCCCCCCCUUUAGUCGCGGUUGCUUAAGAACCGCGACUAAAGGCCCGUCCACGUGGGCGCCAGGUGGCCGUCGGGGCGGAGGACCUUUAGUCGCGGUUCUUCUGGCCAACCGCGACUAAAGGCCGCCGCAGGUUUAGGGUUUUAGCCCCCCCCCUUAAACUUGUUUUCUGUUUAAUUUGUAUUGUUUUAUUUCUUUUGUGCUUUAUUUUAAUUUUGAAGGAGUUUCAUAUAUUCUACGGUACUACAUACAUGCAUAUGAAUGUACAAUUUCAAAUAAAUUUGAAAUUAGAACCAAAAAGAAUUCAAGAGGAAUAUACAAUAUAUAUUCAAUAUCAUCGGAUGACCAUAUACAAUUUUGAACAAGUUUCCAUACAUGAUUUAAUGCAUAUAAAGUUCUACGUCCUCGUAAUAGUGUUCUCCUUUAGGAUGGAGGACUUCCCUGCUGAACCAUCCAGCUAGUUCCUCUUGAAGUGGUCGGAAGCGAGCUUCUGGACUAAGCAUCCACCGGAGGUUAUUCCUCUGAGCAUUGGUAUCACUCGGAACCCGCUCAGAGGUGUAUCUCUGGAUCAUCUCACAGACAUAGUAUCCACAUAGAUUGGUCUCCGGUGGCUGAAUAUCCCCAGCAUUCUUAGCCUUUAACAUUUUGAAUUCUAGCUCUUUUUUGAAUUCACCGACCUUUGUAUCUACGAACCGUCUCCAAACCCUACGAGGCAAAGAAAAUUAAAUGAACAAGAGAGUUAUUAAUUAGUUACUUGAUAUUAGGAAAUGAACGAAAUAGGCCGAUCGAUAUAGAGCGCAAAUGAAUGAAAAUAAUUACUUCUGCAACAUUCUUCUCAUGCCGCCCCAAAGCUUUGAAGAUCGUCGUUUAUCGACGUUUGUUCGGCAUCAUCUUGCUGACGGCGCCCUUCAUCUUCACCGUCAAGGUUCAGAUAAGAAGAGAUAUCAUCUUCUUCUUCUCCGGUCGGCACAUAUAGAAUAUCGCCGUUUAUGAUGCCGAACAUAUGUGCUUCACCGUCCGGAUCAUAGUUGUCCAUAAUCGGGUCAGCUCUAUCGUCCGCCAUUAUGUCAGUCCUGAAAACAUGUAGUAAAAACAAAUUAAUUAAGUGAAGAAGGGGGGCGGUGGCGGUGGCGGUGGCGAAAGGGCGGUGGCGAAAGGAGGGGGCGAGGAAGGGGUGGGAGAGGGUGUCGCGGUAGAGCGCGAGACGGGGCGGCAGACGACGGCGUCACGGAGAGGGGAGGCGAGGACAACACAUUUAUAACCCNNNNNNNNNNNNNNNNNNNNNNNNNNNNNNNNNNNNNNNNNNNNNNNNNNNNNNNNNNNNNNNNNNNNNNNNNNNNNNNNNNNNNNNNNNNNNNNNNNNNNNNNNNNNNNNNNNNNNNNNNNNNNNNNNNNNNNNNNNNNNNNNNNNNNNNNNNNNNNNNNNNNNNNNNNNNNNNNNNNNNNNNNNNNNNNNNNNNNNNNNNNNNNNNNNNNNNNNNNNNNNNNNNNNNNNNNNNNNNNNNNNNNNNNNNNNNNNNNNNNNNNNNNNNNNNNNNNNNNNNNNNNNNNNNNNNNNNNNNNNNNNNNNNNNNNNNNNNNNNNNNNNNNNNNNNNNNNNNNNNNNNNNNNNNNNNNNNNNNNNNNNNNNNNNNNNNNNNNNNNNNNNNNNNNNNNNNNNNNNNNNNNNNNNNNNNNNNNNNNNNNNNNNNNNNNNNNNNNNNNNNNNNNNNNNNNNNNNNNNNNNNNNNNNNNNNNNNNNNNNNNNNNNNNNNNNNNNNNNNNNNNNNNNNNNNNNNNNNNNNNNNNNNNNNNNNNNNNNNNNNNNNNNNNNNNNNNNNNNNNNNNNNNNNNNNNNNNNNNNNNNNNNNNNNNNNNNNNNNNNNNNNNNNNNNNNNNNNNNNNNNNNNNNNNNNNNNNNNNNNNNNNNNNNNNNNNNNNNNNNNNNNNNNNNNNNNNNNNNNNNNNNNNNNNNNNNNNNNNNNNNNNNNNNNNNNNNNNNNNNNNNNNNNNNNNNNNNNNNNNNNNNNNNNNNNNNNNNNNNNNNNNNNNNNNNNNNNNNNNNNNNNNNNNNNNNNNNNNNNNNNNNNNNNNNNNNNNNNNNNNNNNNNNNNNNNNNNNNNNNNNNNNNNNNNNNNNNNNNNNNNNNNNNNNNNNNNNNNNNNNNNNNNNNNNNNNNNNNNNNNNNNNNNNNNNNNNNNNNNNNNNNNNNNNNNNNNNNNNNNNNNNNNNNNNNNNNNNNNNNNNNNNNNNNNNNNNNNNNNNNNNNNNNNNNNNNNNNNNNNNNNNNNNNNNNNNNNNNNNNNNNNNNNNNNNNNNNNNNNNNNNNNNNNNNNNNNNNNNNNNNNNNNNNNNNNNNNNNNNNNNNNNNNNNNNNNNNNNNNNNNNNNNNNNNNNNNNNNNNNNNNNNNNNNNNNNNNNNNNNNNNNNNNNNNNNNNNNNNNNNNNNNNNNNNNNNNNNNNNNNNNNNNNNNNNNNNNNNNNNNNNNNNNNNNNNNNNNNNNNNNNNNNNNNNNNNNNNNNNNNNNNNNNNNNNNNNNNNNNNNNNNNNNNNNNNNNNNNNNNNNNNNNNNNNNNNNNNNNNNNNNNNNNNNNNNNNNNNNNNNNNNNNNNNNNNNNNNNNNNNNNNNNNNNNNNNNNNNNNNNNNNNNNNNNNNNNNNNNNNNNNNNNNNNNNNNNNNNNNNNNNNNNNNNNNNNNNNNNNNNNNNNNNNNNNNNNNNNNNNNNNNNAAAGGGUUUUGGCGCCGCUUCCGUUCCCGCGCAGAAAGACCCUUUAGUCGCAGUUGGGGACAACAACCGUGACUAAAGGGUACCCUUUAGUCGCGGUCCGCCUCCCCAACCGGGACUAAAGGUCUGUGCUAGAACUGGCGCGGUGCGGUGGGAUGUUUAGUCCCACCUCGCUAGCCGAGAGGCUUCGACAGUGGUUUAUAAGCGCGGCUGCGCUCACCACUUCGAGCUCCUCUCAAAUGCAGGCUUACGGGCCUAUUCUGUCACUAUGUGCCUGUGGGCCUACUCGGCCUUCUGCGGGCCUGAAUCCUGGCCCUUUAAUGGGUUUCUAGUCGUAUUCAGGCCGUGGUGGCCCAGUAGGUGGCAUAUUUUCUUUUUUUCUUCCUUUUUUCCUUUUUCCUUUUUUCUUCUGUUUUUUUCUUCUGUUUUUUUCUUAUGUUUUUCUUCUGUUUGUUUUUUUCUUCUGUUUUUCCUUUUUUUUCUGUUUUUUUCUUCUGUUUUUUUCUUCCUUUUUCCUUCUUUCUUCUUCUUCCUUUUUCCUUUUAAAAUCAGAAAAAUAAAACUAAUUCAUUUUAAAACCCCUUGAAGGUUUGACAAAAGGUUUGAUACAUCAUUCAGUUCAUCGACCAAAUACAAAGUUUGGUAGAAUAAAUUAUUACACAUCAAUUCUUCCCUUGUGUCCCUGCUUGCUUACGAUUGUGCCGUAUCCAUGGAGCAUCCUCAUCAUUUAACUUAAUGCUUGGGUCAAUGUUCACUUUGAAGGGCGGAAUUUCACCAAACAUAUUAUAAUCUUCUGACAUGUCUGUCUUGUCCUCCACUCCCACGAUGUUUCUUUUCCCUGAAAGAACAAUGUGGCGCUUUGGAUCAUCGCAUGAUGUACUGAUCGUUUUCUUAUCUUUCCGUUUCCUCGGUUUGCUACUCAUGUCCUUCAAAUAAAAAACCUGAGCGACAUCUUUGGCAAGGACGAAUGGUUCGUCAAGGUAACCAAGAUUGUUGAAAUCCACCAUUGUCAUUCCGUAUUGCUCGUCCACCUUUACCCCACCUCCUGUUAGCUUGAACCAUUUGCACCGGAACAAAGGGACCUUAAAGGAGGGUCCAUAGUCAAGUUCCCAUAUCUCCUCUAUGUAACCAUAAUAUGUGACCUUUUGCCCAUUCUCGGUUGCUGCAUCAAAGCGGACACCACUGUUUUGGUUGGUGCUCUUUUUAUCUUGGACGAUCGUGUAAAAUGUAUUCCCAUUUAUCUCGUACCCUUGGAAAGUCGUUAUAGUCGAAGAUGGUGUCUUGGACAACAUGUACAGCUGAUCUACAACAUCAUUGUCAUUCAUUAAAUGUUUUCUCAACCAACUGCCGAAAGUCUCCAUGUGGGCCUUCCUAAUCCAGGAUUCAGGCUUCCCCGGGUUGUCCGAGCGUAAAAUAUUCUUGUGUUUCUCAAAGUACGGAGCCACCAAGCUGGAAUUGGUCAGUACAGUGUGGUGUGCUUCAGUCAGAGAAUGGCCGUCCAUACAUAUCGUUGAUUUCCUUCCGAUCGUGCCUUUUCCACUUAGUCUCCCCUCGUGCCGCGAUCGAGGAAGACCAAUCGGCUUAAGGUCAGGAACAAAGUCAACACAAAACUCAAUUACCUCCUCAUUUCCAUAGCCCUUGGCGAUGCUUCCUUCUGGCCUAGCACGGUUACGAACAUAUUUCUUUAAUACUCCCAUGAACCUCUCGAAGGGGAACAUAUUGUGUAGAAAUACAGGACCGAGAACGAAAAUCUCUUCGACUAGGUGAACCAGGAGGUGCGUCAUAAUAUUGAAGAAGGAUGGCGGGGACACCAACUCGAAACUGACAAGGCAUUGGAUCACAUCGUUCUGUAACCGUGGUAGAACUUCUGGAUUGAUUACCUUCUGAGAGAUUGCAUUGAGGAAUGCACAUAGCUUCACAAUGGCUACUCGAACAUUUUCCGGCAGGAGCCCCCUCAAAGCAAUCGGAAGCAAUUGCGUCAUAAUCACGUGGCAGUCGUGAGACUUCAGGUUUUGGAACUUUUUCUCCGCCAUGUUUAUUAUUCCCUUUAUAUUGGACGAGAAUCCAGACGGGACCUUCAUACUGCUCAGGCAUUCAAAAAAGAUGACCUUCUCUUCUUUGGUCAGAGCGUAGCUGGCACGACCUUGAAACCAUUCCGGAUGCCGGUCAUCAGGGUCUUUCAAACGUUGCUGGUCCUGCCGUGCUUCCUUUGUAUCAUUUGUCUUCCCAUACACGCCCAAGAAGCUUAGGAGGUUCACGCAAAUAUUCUUCGUAAUGUGCAUCACGUCGAUUGCAGAGCGGACAUCUAGGACUUUCCAAUAUUCUAGCUCCCAGAAUAUAGAUUUCUUCUUCCACAUGGCUGCGUGCCCGCCAGCUCCCUUCGGAACUGAUUGUCCGCCAGGACCCUUUCCAAAGAUGACUUUCAAAUCCUUGACCAUAUCAAAUACCUCAGCACCAGUGCGUUCCGCAGGCUUCGGCCGGUGAUCUGCCUUGCCGUUGUAAUGCUUGCCUUUCUUUCUUACUGGAUGAAUUUUCGGAAGAAAUCGACGAUGCCCAAGGUACACGUUCUUCUUACAAUUUGGCAAAUGUACACUUUCAGUCUCAUGUAAGCAGUGCGUGCAUGCAUUGUAUCCCUUAUUUGACAGUCCCGAAAGGUUACUAAGAGCAGGCCAAUCGUUGAUGGUUACGAAAAGCAACGCUCGUAGGUCAAAUUCCUCUUGUUUGUGCUCAUCCCACACACGGACACCACCCCACAGCUGUAAAAGUUCAUCAACUAAUGGCCUUAGGUACACAUCGAUGUCGUUGCCGGGUUGCUUCGGACCUUGGAUGAGCACUGGCAUCAUAAUGAACUUCCGCUUCAUGCACAACCAAGGAGGAAGGUUGUAGAUGCAUAGAGUCACGGGCCAGGUGCUAUGGCUGGAGCUCUGCUCGCCAAAAGGAUUCAUGCCAUCCGUACUUAGAGCAAAUCUUAUGUUCCUUGCGUCAGCUGCAAAAUCUUUGAACCAUCUGUCGAUCUUUCUCCAUUGCGUUCAAUCUGCGGUGUGUCUCAACUCCCCGUCCGACUUACGGUCCUCUUUGUGCCAUCGCAACAACUUGGCAUGCUCUUUGUUCCUGAACAGACGUUUCAACCGUGGUAUUAUAGGAGCAUACCACAUCACCUUGGCGGGAACCCUCUUCCUGGGUUUCUGGCCCUCAACAUCGUCAUCAGGGUCAUCGCCUCUGAUCUUAUAACGCAAUGCAGUGCAUACCGGGCAUUCAUUCAAAUUCUCGUAUUCACCGCGGUAGAGGAUGCAGUCGUUGAUGCAUGCAUGUAUCUUCAGAACCUCUAAACCUAGAGGGCAGACAACCUUCUUUGCUUCGUACGUACUGGCGGGCAACUCGUUAUCCUUUGGAAACAUAUUCUUCAACAUUUUCAGCAAGUUUUCAAAUGCCGAGUCAGCUACACCUGCCUCUGCCUUCCAUUUCAGCAAAUCCAGUGUGCAGCCCAGCUUUUUCAGACCAUCAUCGCAUCCGGGGUACAGCGCCUUUCUGUGAUCCUCUAACAUGCGAUCCAAAUUCUCCCUCUCCUUUUCAGUUUCGCAGCGUCUCCGUGCAUCAGCAAUGGUCCGACCAAGAUCAUCAACGGGAUCAUCACGUGCCUCUUCUUCACCUUCCCCUUCACCUUCAGCAUCCUCCAUGAAAGUAUCACCGAAAUGAGCAAGAUAGCUUUCAUCGAUGAAAUCAUCCCCUUCUUCAUCUUCUUCCAUUAUAACCCCUCUUUCUCCAUGCUUGGUCCAACAAUUAUAGCUUGGCAUGAAACCGUGCCGAAGCAGAUGCAUGUGAACAUCUCUUGAGGAAGAGUAACCCUUCUGAUUCUUACAGAUAACACAUGGACAGAUAACAAAACCCCCCUGCUUGUUCGCAUUAGCCACUACGAGGAAAUCUUUCAAACCCGUAGUAAACUCGCCGGAGAGUCGGUUACCGUACAUCCAUUGCCGAUUCAUCUGCAUUAUUAUAAUAUAAAAUAUAUAAUUAACCAUCAUGCAUUUGUUAAACUAACUAGCUACAAAUAAUAUAAAUUAAACAAUGAACUGCACACAUGCAUAUUUUAUCAAUGACACACAUGCAUGAAAGGUUCAAGUUGCUAACCGCGAUCGAGGAGGAAAAAAUAAAUGAGGAACCUCAAGUGUGGCUCCAACACUUCAUAUCAUGUUUGUUUCACCCUCUUAGGGCAUUUCAUCAAACACCUUGUGUGCAUAAGAGGAACCAAAAGCAAACCUACACCCCCUUGUGAAGCUUGUGAAGAGAAGUGGCACCAAAUGGCUAAGUGAGCGUGCUGAACUGGUAUAUAUAGGGGAGGAGCUUUAGUCGCGGUUGGCCUGGCCAACCGCGACUAAAGCCCCUCACGUGCACCAGCUGGCCACCGAGCGCCCUGGGCCCAGGCCUUUGGUCGCGGUUCGUCUGCCGAACCGCGACUAAAGACUUCAUUAGUCGCGGUUCCUACAGUUUCGCGACUAAUGUGGCUGGACGGAAGCCUCUUUUUCUACCAGUGUAUGCUCUAAGGGACAACCGCCACUUACACCUUGAGGUGCGAGGAACAUGCCCCAUCCGACUAAAAAGAUUUAAAUUCAUACGCGUUGUUAUUUACGGCGAUAUACCGGCAUGGUAACAUAAGGACGACGUCAACCGCAACACACGCCAACACCCGUCAGCACACCAUCGGAGCAGUAGUGUCGGCAACGCAACAUCGCCUAUCGUGACGUGACGGGGCAUUGCCGCUUGUAACAUCGGGCGUGGAGAUGCUCGGUUCCGUACCAGUUUCGCCAACAUAUUGGCUAGAUAUUUGUUAGAGCAUCUCUAGACCUCUUAAAAAGGGGCGUCUUGUAAAAAUCUGGCGACUAUACCGGUUUGGUCCUUUUUUUGGGCCAGACCAGAGCCCAUAUAGUCGCCUGGCUUGUAAUUUUUUUAUACUGGCCCACAAGCCGCCCCCUCCAUACAGUAUAUGUACACGUUUGCGCGGGUGGAAUACAGGUUGAAACCUAUUUGCACGCCGCCACAUUUCCUGAUCCCCUUCUCGCUUUCUCGUCGUCGGCGACUUCAAUUCUCCCUUUCCCCCUCUCGAUGUGGCACGGAAUGUGGUCAGCGGGCCGCGGUACCGGCGGUGGUGACGACCCCGAGUGGAGGCGGUGCGUUGCCGCUGAUGGCGCAAGGAAAAGGGCAACGAGACGGUACACUAACCAAGGUAUCUCACCGCCGUCGUCGCUCCUCCGCUGUGAGACAGAGGAGUACGACCGCAAGCAGGUGCUCCUUCGAUGCGGACUGUCCUCUGACUCCUCCGUCAUGGGCAGCUUCUCCGCCGCGGGCAACUCCACCGCCGGUGCCUCGAGCUUGCGGACGCCGCUCAUCCUAGUGAAAAGGGAGCCGGAGGAGCUCCCGACGCUCCGAGAGAUGAAGAAGGAGCCGGAGCCAGAGCGGCGGGGAGGUGGCGUCAUCGGGCCGGAGGAUUUCCUCCCCUCGCGGAGGCAGGCGUCUUUGAGGCCGCCAUCGUCGUGCGCAGUGCACGAGAGAAGGAGGAGUUGGAGCAGCGCCAUCGAUGGGAAGCUGACAUCGACGCAGUCCUCCUCGAGCAGGGGCUAGCGAAGGAGCAAGACUUCGUCGACAACCUCGAGGCAUGGCGCCGCGAAGCCAAGGCGCGGGACGACAUCUACAUCGACCCCGUCUCCUCCUCCGAUGACUGAGCUCCUCCGCCACCGCAGCGUCGCCGCCGCACCCGCAGGGCUCCGGUGAGCCCAAUUUUGGCCAGUUUUAUGGUUAGGGUAGGCUAACGCCAAUAUGUAAUCGAUGAACUAUAUUAUGUAUAAAUGACCAUCUCUAUUAUAUGUAUGUAGGAAUGAUCAUGUCUACUAUUUCUUGUUCAUUCCUUGUGCGAAACAUCUUUUCUAAAUUUACAGUUUCAUAUAAGGUUUCUGCUUGGCCGCAGCCAAAUUUGCCCCUAAGGGCAAACACGAACUGUAAACACACUGUAAGGAUCUGCUUGACGACGACGGAGCCGGCGUCGGAGGUGACGAUGUAGACGAAGUUGAGGUUGCCGUCGCCGACCUCCUUGACGGCAAGGCCGUCGACGCGGCCGCCGAGGCUGGCGGCCAGCGCCGGGGUCGCCCGGAUGUAGGCCACCAGCGACGCCUCGUCCAGCGGGCAGAAGCCUGGCGCCUCGUCGCCGUCGGCCAUGGCGUGCUGGCGCGACGGCGGAGAGGAUCGGGACUGAGGGAGUGGGGAGUCGCCGGAGUUUACGUUGUCGCGUUGGGUGUACGAGAGCAGAGACACUGCCACUCUGUAUUAAUAGUGGGUUCUCUGAACCUGGACUUGUUUACGGGCAUCUGGCAACAGUGAACACUUGCGUGCGUGCGGGAGGAUUGGGAUCAGGAUUCCCGUUGACUACGAGAGCUAUUGAGAGCAGCCGCACCCUGACUCGUGGGCCCAUACAAUUUCUGGUGAAGAACACAUAAACUGCCUCUAGUAGAAUUUUAUUUGGAGGAAAACAACCCUAUACAUAUUUUCUCUGAAAUUUUUAGUCCAAAUGCACCUUCUCUUUGCUCCACUCCAAGGGAUAGAACAUGAGCGUCUCAAAUUUCCUUGUUUUCACUAAUUUACAAGUCUUGUGCCACGCGAGAAAGAAAAGGAGCAGCUUCCGAGGCCAUGAACUCCAUUGCUUCAUUAAUUUCCAGGGGAGAGGAAUGACGCGGUUUGGAGGGUGUUGGUUCAAGGACAACAGAAGCGGAGUAAAAGACGGAAUCUUCACGAGAUACGCAAUAACAAUAGCGGCAAUGAGGAUUUGGCGGAUAGCUUGGUACCUAGGCAAUGCAAAACGAUGUACUUUGUGGGGUUGUUUAUUGUGCUAUACUCGUCUCCCCGCGGAGAGACAAUCGUCACAAUCUCAUGGAAAGAGGCCGGCCAUGCAGCACAAGUGGCAAGUUGGAUAGCACCACUAACGUAGCAAGGGAAGAAGGCAAUUCCUUCUUUUUCUUUGUUUUCCUCCAACAUCUCAAAGCUCACAAGUACAUUAAACAGAAGAGGAAAAUAGAUGUAAGCCCGACAUUCGAUCGAGAUGCAAGUUCUCAAAACGUACAUAUAUAUAGGAUGGGGGUGUCAUUCUAGAUGUGUGAGUUUAGCAUUCAUGCAUGUAGUAUGUUUUUUGGGUGGUCAUUGAAAGGUUGUGAAUAUAAACUACUAUCUAAAGCUAACAAAUGUUAUAUGUUGUUGGUGUUAGUUGUAAUGUGGAGAGUAAUGCGUGUGAAAAUGUGUAAUGAAACACAUGCAGUCAUAGAAGUUGAAUCAUGCUUCAGUGUCCACACAUCAAACCUUUGCUCAGUAUACCAGUUUUGGUGGAAUGCUAAUUAUUGUAGAAUUUAAAACUUUAAAAAGAAUGACAACUUUCUUAACAAAUAGGAAGGGAUGUUGAGAAAUAGAGAGAGAGAGAGAGAGAGAGAGAGAGAGAGAGAGAGAUGAUGGGAAUUUAGGCUGGUCUCAUACCAUAGAUAUAUCGCAUUGAGCUUGUGAAAUGAAAUUUACUUGACGACCAAGACAUGGAAACUAAAAGCAUCUACUCCCUCCGUUCCAAAAUUGAUGACCCAACUUUGUACUAAACUUAGUAUAAAGUUGAGUCAUGUAUUUUGGAACGGAGGGAGUAAUAGCUAGGUGUAUUGUGUUAACUUCCUCGAAGAACUCCCACGCCUGUGAAAUCAUGUUAUCAUCCAAAUCAUCUCAGGUGGAUGAAGAGACCGGUAUAUGUUUGGUUGGUGGCCAAAUGUGGUUUCCCUAGAUGUGGCUCGACCGUGCUUUUAUCCGCCUCUGAUCCGACCGAUCAAGCACAUGAUAUACACUUGGGUGGUCCAUUAAGAUUGGGGGAGCUUCUUUCGUAACUCCCAUAAUUUCUUUGUCCUCUGCCUCCAGCAACUAGAGCUACAUCAUCUCGUUCAUUAUUGAGAAUAGGCCGGUGACCGGAUAAGAGCCGUGACUAUGUCGGUAGCAUUAUAAAAGGAAGGAAAUUCACUAUUUCUCUCAUUUGUUUACCUUCGAGGUCCUAGCUCCAGACCCGGAUGUGAUUAACAAGGUGCGGGUGGGGGUCAUGGCCUUUAUCUGUGUCCCUCUUUGAGCAUUGGGGGAAACCCUAGGUCCGGUUCUUUGGAUCGGAUGGCGGCGGCGUCAUGACGUCGCACCCCUUGUUGAAGGCGCUAUCUUGUUUGCUCGCGGUGCCCCGAUGUUGGAUUUGAAGAUGUUUGACAUUGUGCUAGUUUGGUUUGCCUCUCUGUUUAGGACUAGUGGGUUUAGUUGUGUCAUUUCCCCCUUUCGGGCUGAGCACCCCUUGUCUCUUUGCUCCGGAUGCCAUGAUCAUGCCUCCUUGCAUUCAUCUCAUGUGUUGUAUCCUCUAUUGUACUCAUUCACUUUCUUCUAUCAAAGAAAAGAUACGCAAGCUUUGCGUAUUCGUGAAAAAGAUGAAUAAUCACUAAGUAAGGCACCAAAAUUUUGGCAUCCUGCAGUAUUCUAGACCGUACUUGGUCACUGGCUAAAAGUUUAUUCUGAGAAACAAAGUACAGAUGUGGGCGAUCACAAUGCACAUGCACACUCAGCCACCAGCGACGCCUCGUCCAGUGGGCAGAAGCCUUGCGCCUCGCCGGCGGCGGCCAUGGCGGGCGGGCGGGCGAGCUAGAUCGAUACUGAGGGAGUGGGGAAUCGCCGGGGCUUACACUGUCACGGCGGGUGUGCGAGAAUAGAGACGUUGUCGCUCUGUAUUAAUAGUGCGUUCUCUGAAUCUGGACGGGUAUCUGGCAAUAGUGACCACUUGCGUGUGUGCGGGAGGAUUGGGAACAGGAUUCCCAUUGACUGACUAGGAGAGCUAUUGAGAGACUCUAGGCCCAUAUAUUUUCUCAUGAAGAAAAUAUAAACUUCUUAAUAAAAUAGUAUACCAAAGCAACCCCAUACAUUUUUUCUCUGGAAGUUUUAUUCCAAAUGCUUCUCUUUGCUCCGCUCCAAUGGAUAGAACAUGUGCCUCUCAAAUUUCCUUGCUUUCACUAACUUACAAAUCUUGAGCCACGCAAAAAAAGAAACGAAAAAACUACCAACUACCAAUGGCAGGAAUUCCAUUGCUUCAUUAAUUUUGAGAGGUUCAGAAUGAUGCCGAUUGGAGGGUGUUGGGUUAAGAACAACACAGCCGGAGAAAAAGACUGAAUCUUCACGUGAUAUGCAAUGACAAUAGCAGCGAUGAAGAACAGUCCUAUAGCUUGGUAUUUAGGCAAUGCAAAACGCUGUACUUUGUAGGGUUCUUUAGUAUGCUAUACUCAUCUUUCCGUGGAGACACAAUCGUCGCAAUCUCAUUGAAAGACCUCAGCGAUGCAACACAAAUAACAAGUUGGAUGUCAACGGUAAUGAAGGAUGGCGAGCAGAUGAUUCCUUCUUUUUCUUUGUUCUCCUCCAACAUCUCAAAACUCACAAUACAUUGAGCAAAAGAAAGAGAUGAAUGUAAUCCUAGCAUUAUACAUUGAUGAGCACUAACUCUCUCAAUCUACAGGCAAGUUUCUCAAGCAUACAUAUAUAUAGAGGAUGGGGGUGCCAUCCUAGAAGUGUGAGUGUAGCAUUCAGCCAUUCACAUAGCAUGUUCUUUGGGUGGUCAUUGAAGUACCACAAAUAUAAACUACAGCCAAAAGCUAAUAAAUGUUUAGGUGAUUGGUGGUAGCCGUGAUGUAGUCAGAAAUGCAUGUGGCUAUGUGUGAUGAAACUCAUGUAUAGAAUAUCAUACUUCAAUUUUCAGGCAUCAAAACUUCGGUAAGUCUAUCAGUAUUGAUCCAAUACAAAUUAUUCUAUUUAAAAUUUGAGAAAAAAGAUUGACAACUAUCUUAACAAACAUGAAGGGAUGUUGACAAAUUCACUGUGUGUGGGUGGGUGAGAGAGAGAGAGAGAUGAUAAGAAUUUAGGUUGGUCCUAUGCCACAGAUAUCUCGCCAAAGGUUUGGCUGGUAAGAGCCUAAGAAAUAUCUAGCAAAUAUCUCGGCCAAUCAAUGGUUGCAAAAAAAAAACAUUUCUAUAGGAAAAGAAGAAAACAUGAACCAAACAUAAUGCAAGACGGUCUCCAAACCUAGGAGACCAAAAGUAUGUAUAGUUUACUGAGUUGAUGGCAAAUCAAAGCCUAGGUUUUGGCUUCCUCGUACAAUCAAUUUUGGCGCACUAUGUCCAUUCGAAGUGGUUGAGCUUUUGUAUGUGUUUUUAUUUCAGACUUUGUCGGUGGGUAACAAAUUAUCUCACGAAGUUCCGUUCAGUUUUGUGUGGUUGAAGGUUUCAAGUUUUGGAUGAGAUAUCGAUAUGAGGAGAAUAAGGAGUGACAAGACCCUAAGCUUGGGGAUAUCCAAGGCACCCCAAGGUAAUAUUCAAGGAAGACUCAAGCAACUAAGAUUGGGUAUGCGUCAGUCAGGGUCAGAUGGGACGGGGAGGGAUGAGAGGGGGGCGGGGGACGGACCUGCUUAACGACAACGGGGCCAGCGUCGGAGGUGACGAUGUAGACGAAAUUGAGGUUGUCGUCCCCGGUCUCCUUGACGGCGAGGCCGUCGACGCGGCCGCCGAGGCUGGCGGCCAGCGCUGGGGUCGCCCGGAUGUAGGCCACCAGUGUCGCCUCAUCCAGCGGGCGGAAGCCCUGCGCCUCGUCAGCGGCGGCCAUGGCCGGCGGGCGGGCGAGCUGGAUCCGGGGGACUGAUGGAAUGGGGAGUCGCCGGGGUUAACGCUGUCGCGGCGGGUGUGUGUAUGUGUGCGAGAACAGAGACGCUACCGCUCUGUAUUAAUAGUGCGUUCUCCGAACCUGGACGGGUAUCUGGCAAUAGUGACCACUUGCGUGCGUGCAGGAGGAUUGGGAUCAUGAUUCCCGUUGACUAGGAGAGCUCUGAUGAGAGCAACCGCACCGUGACUCUUGGUCAUACAUUUUCUGAUGAACAAAACACACUUCUUGGUAGAAUUUACAAAUCUCCAUGUUUUCACUAAUUUACAAAUCUUGAGCCAGGCAAAAAAGAAAUGAAAAAACCACCAAGGGCGGGAAAUUCCAUUGCUUCAUUAAUUUUGAGGAGAGAGGAAUGACGCGGAUUGGAGGGUGUCGGGUUAAGAACAACAUAAUAGGAGAAAUUGGGCCAAUCUUCACGAGAUGCGCAAUAACAAUAGCUGCGCUGAAGAUUGAUCCAAUAGCUUGGUAUCUAGGCAAUGCAAAACGAUGUAGUUCGUUGGAUUCCUUAGUAUGCUAUACUCAUCUUCCCGCAGAGAGACGAUCGCCGCAAUCUCAUGGAAAGACGUCGGCGAUGCAACACAAAUAACAAGUUGGAUGUCAACACUAAUGCAAGACGAAGAGAAGGCAAUUCCUUCUUUUUCUUUGUUUUCCUCCGGUAUCUCAAAGCUCGCCAGUACAUUGAACAAAAGAGGGAAAUAUAUGUAAGCGCGGCAUUACACAAUGGCAAGGACUAUCUCUCUCGAUAUAUAUAGUAUGUCCUUUGGGUGGUCGUUUGGGUGGAGGUGUCAUUCCAGAAGUGUGAGUUUAGCAUUCAUUCAUGUAGUAUGUCCUUUGGGUGGUCACAGAAAAAAUGUGAAUACAAACUACAGUUGAAAACUAACAAAUGUUAUAUGUGUUUGGUGUUAGUUGUGAUGUAGCAAGAAAUGCAUGUGAAAAUGUGUGAUGAAACACAUGUAGUCAUAAAACUUGAAUCACACUUCAAUUUGCACCUAUCAGACCUUGAGUAAGUCUAUCAGUACUCGUGCAAUGCCGUUUAUUCUAUUUAAAAAUUGAAAAAAAAUUAUUAGCAACUUUCUUACGAAAUGAUAACAAANNNNNNNNNNNNNNNNNNNNNNNNNNNNNNNNNNNNNNNNNNNNNNNNNNNNNNNNNNNNNNNNNNNNNNNNNNNNNNNNNNNNNNNNNNNNNNNNNNNNNNNNNNNNNNNNNNNNNNNNNNNNNNNNNNNNNNNNNNNNNNNNNNNNNNNNNNNNNNNNNNNNNNNNNNNNNNNNNNNNNNNNNNNNNNNNNNNNNNNNNNNNNNNNNNNNNNNNNNNNNNNNNNNNNNNNNNNNNNNNNNNNNNNNNNNNNNNNNNNNNNNNNNNNNNNNNNNNNNNNNNNNNNNNNNNNNNNNNNNNNNNNNNNNNNNNNNNNNNNNNNNNNNNNNNNNNNNNNNNNNNNNNNNNAAUCUCACUUAGCGUAUGAAAUGAAAUUCACUUUAUAACCGAGACAUGGAAACUAAAAUAAUCUAAUAGCUUGGUGAAUUGUGCUAGCAGCCUUGAAGAACUCCCACGUCUACCGAAUCAGCGUGCUAUCAUCCAAAUCACCUUCGGUGGAUGAAGAGACCAAGGAUAUGUUUGAUUGGUGGCCACAUGUGCGUCCCCAAAAUUUGGCAUCCUAUGGUAUUCUAGACCGUGCAUGGGCAUCGGCAUUUUUAUUUUUAUUAUUGAGAAACAUAAUACUACGAUGAGAUGCUCACAACGUGCAUGUGCACUCACCCCUACGAAUACAUGCACACAAAUUCUAUCUUUUUGAGCAUCUCUGAGAGUCUGAGCUGGUAGAUCUUGAGAUUGACAAAGUCACGUAUUCUAUGAAAAGAUGCUCACAUCAUUGUCACAACUCUUACCGAAAAUUGUGUUAAAAAUAACUCUUACUGAAAAUUGGUAGGACAUAAGAUGGCAUGAACCGAACAUAAAGCUGAGCAUAAAGCUUGAAACCAAAAUACGUAUAGUUCACUAAUGAAAUCAAAAUGUAUAAAUCACUAAGUUAAUGGUAGAUCAAAGCCUAGGCUUUGACUGCUUCCUCGUACAGUUCGGAUGCACGCUAUCCAUCCGAAGUGAUUGAGCUUUUGUCCGUGUCCUUGGCUCAUUGGACGGCAAAUUAUCGUGGCUGUAGACAAGUCCAUGAGAUCUGUGAGUUGAUAAAGUGGGACCCGAGAGCAUCUAUAGCCAAACUUUUCAAAUCUGGCCCCUCAAACAUUUGGGCGCGUCCAUAUACACUGAUUGGUUUCGCCUUAAAUAAUGCAUUUCACAUCCGAACAUCUCAAUUAUCAUAUCUUAAAUUCAUGCAACUACGUUGAUGCACACACAUUGUCCGGCUACUGGAUCCCACUACACUAAACAUGCCACCAGACUACCAAAAUUUGGCAUGUCUGGCUAUGGUGGAGAUCAUCCACGGCUGUCCUUGCCUUUCCCGGUGCCCUAGCCGCCCUUAUCGCGGAAGUACCGGUCGAAGACGCAGUAGGGACCGAGCCGGAUCUGCUCGUCGCCAGAGUUGUCCUCCUUCGGUGGCAGUUCGGAUUCUGCUCUCGAGGAGGGCGCGUAUAUUCCCCAUUGUCGUUUCUUCACAAUAUUGACACAGAUGGCUUCCUCCUCUAUAGCCUCCCGCGCCGCCGCAUCAGCCGCCUUCGUCGCCACCAUUUCCGCCGCUAUAUGGGCCUCGGCGGCCCUUAUCCUCUCCUUCCCACGACAGUCUACCCGUUCCCGGUGGGACUCAUAGUAUGCCCGACCAGUGAUGGGGAAGGAGAGAUUUUCCGGCUGCCGGGAUCGCGAUGAUCCAGCCCCAGAGGACCUGAGCGCCGUUGAGCCGACGCAACGUAGUCAUGCCGGACAGAUCCGUUCGUCGGCCGAGCGCUGUCCUUCCGGCAGCGGCGAAGUGCAAUGCGGACCGCCAUUGCCUCCUUCAAACCGCACGGGAUGACACCCCAAUCGACGGAUCCAAACUGGUCGGAGUCAGAUCCGCUGCCCGCCAUGCCGGAGACGGCCGAAAAUCGCCGGAGGAGCUAGGGUGGCGGAGGGAGUGGAUGAGAGAGGAGUGUGAAGUGGCUAGGAUUUGGUCCAGUGAACGGAUGAGGAUGAAUAUAUGCGGGGUCUGAUGGGCCAGCGUGGGCUGGAUUCGACGUAGCGGACGCGCGGGGCGCCCUAUUCCGCCUCAUAAUUGGGCCUGCAUAUGAGGGAUGCCGGUCAGUCCGGGCGUUUGAUACUCGUUUGAGGUGUCCAUCUAGAUCAAAAUAUCGUGACCAGUCAGUGACCAAACAAAGCGCCCAAACGUUUUAAAAGGGUUUAGGACGCCCAACCGUAGAUGCUCUCACCGAGCCGCUAACCGAACCGAUGCGGGACGCCGCUCCGGAGUACCUUGGCCGGCCCCGCGGGCUCCAACAAAUGUAAUCUUUGUAUGCGUCGUCCCUUGCAGCCAUAGAAACGGCAUGGAAACAUACGCACGGCGUCAAGGUGCCAUUUUGUUCAGAGGAAGCGGCAUGAAAACGGGCUCCGGCCCGCUGAGAAGAAGUGCCAAUUUCUUCGGCCGCGACGGCUAGUCUGGAUCGGAGCGCAUGAUUCAGCAUGCACCAUGGCAUGCCUGGGCACUCUCGCCCAUAACAGCCACACUUGUAUUUCGAGGCCGUUUGCUCCAGCAAGUCUACGUAUAAUAUCCACGUGCUCCCUUUGGCAAGGAAAGCGAGAGAGCAACAUUACCAUGACUUCCGGGGAGUCGCCGGGGUUUAGGCUGUCGCGGGCGGGUGUGUGCGGGAACAGAGACGCUGCCGCUCUGUAUUAAUAGUGCGUUCUCUGAACCUGGACGGGUAUCUGGAUUGGGAUCAGGAUUCCCAUUGACUAGGAGAGCUAUGAGAGCAGCCGCACCUUGACGCUGGACCCAUACAACUUCUUGCUAGUUGAAUUUUUUUGGAGGAAAGCAACCACAUAGUACAUAUUUUCUCUGAAAGUUCUAGUCCAAAUGUAUCUUCUCUUUGCUCCGCUCUAAGGGAUAGAACAUGUGCGUCUCAAAUUUCCUUGCUUUUACUAAUUUACAAAUCUUGAGCCACGCAAAAAGGAAAAGAAACAACUACCGAGGGCGGGAGUUCCAUUGCUUCAGUAAUUUUGAGCCGACUGGACUGAUGACGAUUGGAGGGUACUGGUUUAAGAACAACAAGGACCAGAUAAAAAGAUUGAAUCUUCAUGACAUACGCAAUAACAAUAAUGGCGACGAAGAUCUGGUCGAUAGCUUGGUAUCUAGGCAAUGCAAAACGUUGUAGUUCGUUCGAUUCCUUAGUAUGCUACACUCAUCUUCCCGCGGAGAGAGAAUCAAAGCAAUCUCAUAAAAAGACGUCAGCGAUGCAACACAAAUGAGAAGUUGGAUGUCAACACUAAUGAAGGAGGGCAAGCAGAUGAUUCCUUCUUUUUCUUUGUUUUCCUCUACCAUCUCAAAACUCACAAUACAUUGGGCAAAAGAGGGGGAUGAAUGCAAGCCUGCCAUUAUACAUUGAUGAGGACUAACUCUCCCAAUCAACAGGCGAGUUUCUCAAAGCAUACAUAUAUAUAGAGAAGAUGGGGGUGUCAUCCUAGAAGUGUGAGUUUAACAUUCAGAUAGUAUGUUCUUUGGGUUGUUACUAAAGAACCACAAAUAUAAACUACAGCCGAAAGCUAAGAAAUGUUAUAUGUGAUUGAUGUUAGUUGUGAUGUAGCAAGAAAAGCAUGUGAAAAUGUGUAAUGAAACGCAUGUAGUCACUGAACUCGAAUCACACUUCAAUUUCCACCCAUCAAACCUUUGCUAAGUCUAUUGGUACAUACGGGUGGAAUGCCAAUUAUUCUAUUUGAAAUUUGAGAAAAAAAGAUUGGCAACUUUCUUAACAACUCUCUUAACAAACAUGGAGGGAUGUUGACAAAUUCACUGUGUGUGUGUGUGUGAGAGAGAGAGAGAGAGAGAGAGAGAGAGAGAGAGAGAGAGAUGAUAGAUAUUUAGGUUGGUCCCACAUAGAUAUAACUCUCGCCAAAAUUGUAUAGGCUAUGCCAACUUAUGCCAUGUUCGUCUUUAAAAUUCAUUUUUCUUUUGCAAAGGAAUCAUUGACGUGAUGCCGCAAUUUUGGUGGGUGACGAGGACAAUCAGAAGAGAAUGCAUUGGAUGGUGUGGUGGAAGAUGUGUGUCCCAAAAGACUAAGGAGGUAUGGGCUUCCAAGAUGUACGUUGUUUCAAUAUGGCUUUAUUACCCAAACAAGCGUGGUGUCUGCAUGAUAAUCCCGAUUCUUUAUGCGCUCCUAUUUUGAGAACUAAUAUUUUUCAGCUGGCAAUUCAAUGAAUGCAAGUCUGAAAAAGGGUUUCUCUUUUACCUGGCAAAGCAUUAUGGCGGGAGUUAACUCUCUAAAAAAUGGUAAUAUAUGGAAAGUUGGAAAUGGAAAGAUAUUGAUAUCUGGAGAGAUGCAUGGAUCCCAAGCUAUGCGAAUAAGAAAAUUAUUACUCCUAGAAGAGGACAACUUCUAUCAAAGGUUUCUGAUUUUAUUGUUAUAGUCAUGAACUUUUGGGAUGAAGACUUGGUGAGACAAAUGUUGUGGCCAAUUAAUGCUCAACGCGUACUCGCGAUUACCCUCCCGAUGUAUAAUAUGUUGGAUUUCAUUGUUUGGAGUUAUACAAAAAAUGGUUUGUUCACUGUUCGAUUGGCUUAUUUGGAAGAAUGGAAUCAACAUGGGAGGAAAUUGCAACAUAGAAAUGGUGUAUGGGUAGAACUAAUGUCAAUCCUAUCUAUGAUAAGAUUUGGAAAUUAUCUUGUCCGACAAAGGUUAAAAAAAUGAUUUGGCGUACGCUGCAUGGAACCCUCCCGAGUUGUGUUACGCUUGCUAAUAAACACAUGAAAGUUAUGCCCAUCUGCUUAUCAUGCUCGAAUGGGCCAGAAGAUACAAAACACAUGUUGUUUCUUUAUCAGAAGGCGAAAGAGUUUGAGAUAAGUUGGGAUUGUAUGAGGUGAUUAAUAAAGAUUGUGUUGUGGAUCGUGCGGUAGAGGUAGUACUUUAAUUCUUACUCUUAUGCCAUAUCAAGAAUCGUCUAUAUUGGGCCUUCAGAAUGCAAGUGAAUUGAUUGCUAUAACAGCUUAGUAUUUAUGGUUGGAUAGACGUAAGCUAGUUCAUGAAGGAAAUUUUUUAAGAUGCAUACCAAACUUUAAUGGCGGUUCGUGCUAUAAUGGCAAACUAUGGGAAUGCCUACUCCCCUAAGGAAACUAUGUGAAUGCCGAGGUUUACGCUGCCGCGGGUGUGCAAGAACAGAGACGCUGCCUCUCUGUAUUAAUAGUGCGUGCUCUGAACCUGGACGAGUAUCUGGCAAUAGUGACCCCUUGCGUUGGAUUGGGAUCAGGAUUCCCAUUAACUAGGAGAGCUAUGAGAGCAACCGCACCAUGACUCUAGGCCCAUACAUUUUCUGAUGAAGAACAUACACUACUUGGUAGAAUUGUAUUUGGAGGAAAGCAACCACACACAUUUUUUCCCUAAAAGUUUUGGUCUAGAUGUAUCUUCUCUUUGCUCCGCUCCAAUGGAUAGAACAUGAGCAUCUCAAAUUUCCUUGCUUUCACUAAUUUACAAAUCUUGAGCCACGCAAAAAAGAAACAAAAAAACUAUCGAGGGCAGGAAUUCAAUUGCUUCAUUAAUUUUGAGGAGUGCGAAACCACGCCGAUUGGAGGGUGCUGGGUUAAGAACAACAAAACCAGAGAAAACGGGUGAAUCUUCACGAGAUACGCAAUAACACUAGCUGCACUGAAGAAGUGCCCAAUACCUUGGUAUCUAGGCAAUGCAAAACGAUGUACUUUGUGGGGUUGUUUAGUAUGCUAUACUCGCCUCCCCGCGGAGAGACAAUCGUUGCAAUCUCAUGGAAAGAGGUGAGCGAUGCAUCACAAGUAGCAAGUUGGAUGGCACCACUAACGCAGCAAGGGAAGAAGGCAAUUCCUUCUUUUUCUUUGUUUGCCUCCAGUAUCUCAAAGCUCACAAGUACGUUGAACAGAAGAGGGAAAUAGAUGUAAGCCCGACAUUACACAAUUGAAAGGACUAUCUCUCUCGACUGAGAGGCAAGUUCUCAAAAUGUACAUAUAUAUAGGAUGGGGGUGUCAUUCUAAGAGUUUAGCAUUCAUUCAUGUAGUAUGUUUUUGGGUGGUCAUUGAUAGACUGUGAAUAUAAACUACAGUCUACAGCCUAAAGCUAACAAAUUUUAUAUGUGUUUGGUGUUGGUUGUGACGUAGCGAGAAAUGCAUGUGAAAAAUGUGAUGAAACACAUGUAGUCAUAGAACUCGAAUCACAUUUGAGUUUCCAACCAUCAAACACUUGCUAAGUCUAUUGGAAUGUGAUACGCCUCCUGCGUAUCUAUUUUUUCUUACGCUUUUCCUCUUGUUUUGGACUAUAAUUUGCAUGAUUUGAAUGAAACUAACCCCAGACUGACGUUGUUUUCAGCAGAACUACCAUGGCGUUCUUUUUGUGCAGAAAUAAAAGUUCUCGGAAUGGAACAAAACUUUGCGAGGAUUUUUUAUAUCAAUAAUAAGAAUUUCUGGAGCCAAGACCUGCAGGAGAGGGGCACCUAGGUAGGCACAACCCACCAGGGCGCACCCGCCUCUCCUGGCGCGCCCAGGUGGGUUGUACCCACCUGGUGGCCCCGCAGACGACCCCCCUGAUACUAUAAAAUCACAUAUUUCCAGAAAAAAAAUCAGAGAAAGAAUUAUCACAAUCCCCGAGACGGAGCCGCCGCCAAGCCCUGUUCUUCCUCGGGAGGGCAGAUCUGGAGUCCGUUUGGGGCUCCGGAGAGGGGGAUCUUCGUUCUUCGUCAUCACCAACCCAUCUCCAUCGCCAAUUCCAUGACGCUCCCCACCGGGAGUGAGUAAUUCCUUCGUAGGCUCACUGGUCUAUGAGGAGUUGGAUGGGAUUCAUCAUGUAAUCGAGUUAGUUUUGUUAGGGCCUGAUCCCUAGUGUCCACUAUGUUCUUAGAUUGAUGUUGCUAUGACUUUGCUAUGCUUAAUGCUUGUCACUUCGGGCCCGGGUGCCAUGAACUCAGAUCUUAACCGUUUAGGAAUUCAUCAUUAUAUCCAUGUUUUAGAUCCGAUUUUGCAAGUUAUAGUCACCUACCACGGUUAUACGACAACCCCGGAAUGACAACAACCGGGCCCACUCUCGGUGAUGACCGUAGUUUGAGGAGUUCAUGUAUUCACUAUGUGUUAAUGCUUUGUUCUGGUUNNNNNNNNNNNNNNNNNNNNNNNNNNNNNNNNNNNNNNNNNNNNNNNNNNNNNNNNNNNNNNNNNNNNNNNNNNNNNNNNNNNNNNNNNNNNNNNNNNNNNNNNNNNNNNNNNNNNNNNNNNNNNNNNNNNNNNNNNNNNNNNNNNNNNNNNNNNNNNNNNNNNNNNNNNNNNNNNNNNNNNNNNNNNNNNNNNNNNNNNNNNNNNNNNNNNNNNNNNNNNNNNNNNNNNNNNNNNNNNNNNNNNNNNNNNNNNNNNNGAGGGGGGUAGGACAAAAUAUGUCAUGCAAGUUCUUUUAAUAAAGCACAUAUGACUAUUUACGGAAUACAUGCCUACAUUAUAUCAACGAACUGGAGCUAGUGCGUAUUGCCCUAGGUUAUAACUGUCACAAUAUGAAUAUCAUCCAACAAGUCACCGAUCCAAUGCCUACGAAUUUAUCUUAUAUUGUUUCUGCCGAGUUACUACUGCUAUCAUCACUGUUACACUUGCUACAAAUUACUAUUAUCACUAUUACCGUUACCGUUGAUGCUGUCACUAUAUCAAAACUAUCAAACUAGUUUGCUACUGAUCACUUUGCUGCAAAUAAUUAAUCUCCAGGUGUGGUUGAAUUGACAACUCAGAUGCUAAUACCUUCAAAUAUUCUUUGGCUCCCCUUGUGUCGAAUCUAUAAUUUGGGUUAAAUACUUAGCCUCAAAAACUGUUGCGACCCCCUAUACUUGUGGGUUAUCAAGACCUUUUUCUGGCGCCGUUGCCGGGGAGCAUAGCUAUAUUUGUUGAGUCACUUGGGGAUUAUUAUCAAUUUAUCACCAUGAAGAAUCUGAAGGAUCCAAAGACUAAGAUAUUUCCCUCAAAGACGAGGGGAGGUAAGGAACUACCAUCCAGUUCUGCUUUAGAUUCACCUUCUGUUAUGAGUAAACUUGCAACACCACCAUAUGCUAUUAAUUCUGAUAUGUCGCAAGUUAUUGAUGAUGCUACUUCUACAAUGAAUGAUGCUUAUGAUGAUGCUAGUACCAUGUUCGAUAAUGAUGAUGUGCCACUUGGUGAAUUUCUUGGUGAACAAAUUGCUAGAGUAAUACAACUUGAUGCUGUUGAAUUUGAUGAUGAGCUUGAAACUGAAACUCCUGAAACACUUGCUAGAGCUAGCCCCCUAGAUAUGAAUUGCCUAAGGUACCGGAAGGCUAUGUUAUGAGUGAAGAGGCAACUAGAGAUAUUUUUGCUUGUAAGGAUAGAGAUGAUCUAGAGAAAUUAUUACACAAGUAUAAAGAAAAAUCUCUGAAUGCUAGAAUGAAAUGUGAUCCUAAGUUUUCUACUUCGCCUAUCUUUAUUGAUGAUAAGGAUUAUGAAUUCUCUGUCGACCCAGAGUUAAUUACUUUGGUUGAAUUUGAUCCUUUCCAUGGUUAUGAAACUGAAACUGUUGUGGCACAUCUUACUAAGUUGAAUGAUAUAGCCACCCUUUUUAAUCAUGAUGAGAAAACUCGAUACUACUUUAUUCUCAAAUUAUUUAUUUUCUCAUUAAAGGGUGAUGCUAAAGCUUGGCACAAUACUCUUGCUCCUAGUUGUGUGCGUAGUCCCCAGGAUAUGAUUUACUACUUCUCUGGAAAAUAUUUUCCUGCUCAUAAGAAACAAGCUACCUUACAGGAAAUAUUUAACUUUGUUCAAACUAAAGAAGAGAGUCUCCCACAAGCUUGGGGGAGGCUUCUCCAAUUGCUUAAUGCUUUGCCUGAUCAUCCUCUUAAGAAAAAUGAAAUACUUGAUAUCUUCUAUAAUGGACUAACCGAUGCUUCUAGGGACCUCCUAUAUAGUUGUGCUGGUUGUGUUUUCUGGGAACAAAUUAUUGCUCAAGCUGAAGAAUUAUUGAAUAACAUAUUGAAAAAUUAUGAUGAUUGGACUAUUCCUGAACCACCGCCUAAACCCACUCCGAAGAAGAGGGGAAUAUUAUAUCUCAGUCCUGAAGAUAUGCAAGAGGGAAAGAAAUCUAUGAAGGAAAAAGGUAUUAAAGUUGAGGAUGUUAAAAAUUUACCUCGUAUUGAAGAAAUACAUGGGCUUGAUACACCACCACUGCCUAAGGUGGUAGAGGUAAAUUCUCUUAUGAAGUUCAAUGAAAAUGAUAAUCCUCACAAUAUGCAUCCUAGCCAAUGCCUUUAUUAGUUUGAAAACUACACUUGAAAACAAGACCACUUCAAUGCAAAUGUUAUGAAACAAUUGAAAUAUAAUUCUGAUAUGAUUGCUCGCUUGAGUGACUUGUUAUUUAGAAUCUCAAAUGAUGUUAGAGGUGUUGGAAAACAUGCUUCUAUGGUUCAAACCCAGUUAGAACAAGUUGCUAAAUCACAAAGAGAAUUACUUGAUGAAAUGAAUCAUAAUAUACAUGACUUUGCUGUUUGAGUUGCAACUAGAGGAGGUAAAAUGACUCAGGAACCACUUUAUCCUAAGGGACACCCAAAAAGAAUUGAACAAGAUUCGCAAAGAAAUAACACUAGUGCACCUGGUCCUUCUAAAAAGAAAAACAAAAAUGAUAGGACUUUGCAUGCUUCUAGUGAACUUGAAAUAGACAAACCUCCUGAUAAUGAAAAGGAAAUCUCUGAUGCUGAAACUCAAUCUGGUAAUGAACAUCCACCUAGUGAUAAUGAAAAAGAUAAUGAUGAGGUUCAUGAAUACACUUAAACAAAUAAUGAUAAGGAACCAGAUAAUGAUGUUGAGAUAGAACCACCUGUUUAUCUUGAUAAUCCACAACCUAAGAAUAAAAGAUAUGAUAAAAGAGACUUUGUUGCUAGAAAACACGGUAAAUAAAGAGAACCAUGGGUUCAAAAACCUAUUCCUUUUCCACCCAAGUCAACUAAAAGGAAAGAUGAUGAAUAAUUUGAAUGAUUUGCUGAAAUGCUGAGGCUAGUCUUUUUGCAUACUCGCUUGUCUGACAUCUUAAAAAUGCCUUCUUAUGCAAAGUAUAUGAAAGAUAUCAUCACAAAUAAGAGGAAAAUACCGGUAACUGAAAUCUCCACUAUGCUUGGUAACUAUACUUUUAAAGAUGGAGUACCUAAAAAACUUGGAGAUCCGGGUAUACCAACUAUACCUUGCUCCAUCAAAAGGAAUUAUGUGAAAAUUGCUUUGUGUGAUCUGGGAGCUGGUGUUAGUGUUAUGUCUUUCUCUUUAUAUAAAAGACUUGAUUUCAAUAAACUCACACCUACUGAAAUAUCAUUGCAAAUGGCUGAUAAAUCAACUGACAUACCUAUCGAUAUCUGUGAGGAUGUGCAUGUUGUUGUUGCUAAUGUUACUAUUUUGACCGACUUUGUUAUACUUGAGAUGCCCGAGGACGACAACAUGUCGAUUAUCCUUAGUAGACCCUUCUUGAAUACUGCAACAGCUGUUAUUGAUUGCAACAAAAGCAAGGUCACUUUUCAUAUUAAUGGUAAUGAGCAUACGGUGCAUUUUCCGAAGAAACAAUUCCAAGUGAAUGGUAUUAAUGUUAUUGAAAAAUCUCCGAUAAUCACUAUUGGAAGUUUUCAAAUACCUCUACCUACUGUCAAAAAGAAAUAUGAAAUGCUAUUGUAGGGGAAAUGAAUAUCCCCAUUGAGGUAACUUAAUGAUUUACGAAAGUUCUUCAGUUUCAUGCUAACCGAAAGUGGUUGAAAAUAAGACCUGAUCAACCUUAUUAAUGAAUCAUUUUUGAAUGGUAUGAAGUUGAUGAAUUUAGUAAGCACUACCUUCUGUCCCUACCUUUUGUUUCCUGUUUUUAUUAGUUAAAUAAAAUAAAAUGCCAUGUUUUGUCUGUUUUCUGAAUUUCCCGUGCAAUAAAAAAUGACCCAAAAAUAAAAGUUCUCAGAAUGCCCUGAAAAUUGAACAUGAAUUUUUUCUGAAUAUUUCUGAAUUUCUAGUGCAAAUAAUACCAGAGGGAGGUGCACCAGGUGGGCACAACCCCCCUGGGCGCGCCAGGACCCCCAGGCGUGCCUUGGUGGGUUGUGGUCCCCACGUCGACCCCUCACUUAUCUCUUUAGCCCACAUCAUCACUUACCUCCAGAAAAAAUUCUCCAUUGCUCUCUCUCUCGUGUUCUUGAGCUCAAACCCGUGGAUUUCAAUCUCUUUGCUUGAAGCUCCGUUUCCAAAACUGUUUCAGGGGAUUGUUGCUUGGUAUGUGACUCCACCAUUUGUUCAAUUAGUUUUUGUUCUAGUGGUUUAUACUUUGAAUAAUUAGCUACUCUUGGUGCUACUGUAGAUGAGCUUGCAUGUUGAAUUCUUAGUGUUCUAAGCAGGUUGAAUGCUUGCUAUGGCCUCUUUGUAUCCCUAUGAGUAGUUGCUAUCAAUUUUGUGAAGUUUUGUUGGGAAAAUUUUGUGAACUAAAAAUUCAGAAUUUUGUUCAUAGGAAAAAUUGUACGCGGACAUGAAUAUCUUCAGGAAGUUUGGCUCUAACAAGAACUCCAAGGGUGUUAUUGGGGAGUCUUAUAACAGUGAUCUCCACCCUCGGAGGUUGGCGGAAGUACGGCCGUGCGAAUGGCCACACACCCCGUUCCUACAAGAGGCUGUAUUUCUUGAGGAGUUCAUGCAAUAUCACUACAAAAAAAGACACAUCCGUGACAUUUUGGGCCGAACGAAAUUUUUUUUGUCAUACAUAUGACACUUCUAUGACGAUAAUUGUGACAAAACCCGGUAUCAUCAUAGAUGUGGUGGGCUCCUACUUCUAUGACAAAAAAUCAUGACAGAAAAUGGGCCUUUUGUCCUAGGCGGGCCGGAGACGCAGCUGCAUGACAUUCUUUGGGCCAUCCAUGACGGAAAAAACCAUGGUAGAAGCGAGGGGGAGGAAAAUUUCGGGGAGUUCCCAGUUACGGUAGGAGGUCAGGGGUCGAGCGAUGCGCGUUUCUCUCAUACACGUACGCGCGUGUGUGCGAGGCGUUGGCUCUAACUGAACCCGAGCGAGGCGUUGGGCUCUAACUAAACCCGAGCGAUUGCACUGUAGGCUACGCAUUACUGAACCCGAGCGAUCGAUCGAUGGAUGUUAACUAAACCUGAUCGAGUGAUUCCUUCGCUACUGCUGCUAACUGAAGCCGAUNNNNNNNNNNNNNNNNNNNNNNNNNNNNNNNNNNNNNNNNNNNNNNNNNNNNNNNNNNNNNNNNNNNNNNNNNNNNNNNNNNNNNNNNNNNNNNNNNNNNNNNNNNNNNNNNNNNNNNNNNNNNNNNNNNNNNNNNNNNNNNNNNNNNNNNNNNNNNNNNNNNNNNNNNNNNNNNNNNNNNNNNNNNNNNNNNNNNNNNNNNNNNNNNNNNNNNNNNNNNNNNNNNNNNNNNNNNNNNNNNNNNNNNNNNNNNNNNNNNNNNNNNNNNNNNNNNNNNNNNNNNNNNNNNNNNNNNNNNNNNNNNNNNNNNNNNNNNNNNNNNNNNNNNNNNNNNNNNNNNNNNNNNNNNNNNNNNNNNNNUCCAACACAAGUCCGUUUCGUCCGUUUUGCGGUACGCCACACCCCUCCCGAUCAACAUGACCCCCGUUUCGACCGUAGGAGGUCCGUUUCAUCCGUUUUGUGGUACGCCACACCCCUCCUGAUCAACAGGACCCCCGUUUCGACCGUAGGAGGUCCGUUUCCUCCGUUUUGCGGUACGCCACACCCCUCCCGAUCAACAGGACCCCGUUCCGAACGUAGGAGGUCCGUUUCCUCCGUUGUGCGGUACGCCAGGCCUCGUUUCCAUCGCAUGUUCCAUCCAAGCCCUCCCGAUGAACACGACCACGCAUUCCGUUCCGACCCAGCCGGUUGGCUCCCACGCGUUCCGUCGCCUCCCGAUGAACACGACGCAUUCCGUUGCGUCCCCAUGAACAUGACGCAUUCCGUUGCCUCCCCAUGAACACGACGACGAUUCUGUUUCUCUGUUCCGACCCAGCCAUGUAUGCGCGAGUAGGCGUUAGAGACCUUGCCCGUAUGUACGUACAUGGCCGUAUUUUCUUUCUUGCACCCUGGCCGCUGUACGUACGUGUACAUGCUACGUGCGCGCCUCUACUAGACACGUGUGCGCCUCUACAUCCACCAGUAUAUAUAUACGCACACGUUCGCCAUCAGAAUGACAACGCUACGUACGUGUAAGUGCAUCUAGUUCCCCUUAGUGAUUUUGGUGUAUUUAAGACUUAUAGGUUAAGGGACUAAUGUGUUUAUGAGUAUACACAGGUCUAUAAGUCUAUGAGGAGUUUGAUAUUUACAGAGAAAGUCGACCCCUAAAAAUGAAUAUCUUCGACUGAAGAUUUUGGUAUUCCUGAAGACUUUCAUGAAGACUUUGAAAGUGAAGAAAUUGGUGUGUCCGUGAAGACUUGAUAAUCAUGCAAGGAAUAUGAAGCUUGAAGACUUUCGUUUUCAUAGUUUUGUUUUUCUCUUUCUUGAGUCAUAGGAAACACCGUACUGUUAAAGGGGGUCGAGGAAAUACUAAGGAAAAAUUUCCAUGUGAUGCUCAACUCAAAAUCCUACACCUACCAAUCCCUUCGAGUGAAGCCAUUGGAAAUCUUAUACAGUUCAGUCAAAUUUCUUCAGUGACAGAGACGAAGUUCUUCUGGUCGCUGAGGAAUUUGUUCUAACUGAGGAGUUAGGAAAUCGCCAGUGCGGAUUACCUACACAGUGAGGAACAUGAUAGCCUUGAGGAAUUUGAGAGUCAAAUUUCCGACCGUUGCUGUGCUGCGCGCCAGCUGUCCCAAAAUAUCUUAUCCACCUAACGGUCAUAUCAUUGAAGGGCAUUUAUGUCUUAUCAUGUCAGGCUGCUACCUAGGCUAUAAAUAGCCGCCCCCCUACAACCACUAGCGGGUUGGCUGCUCCGAGAGAAACUGACACUUGUCAUUUAAGAGCAACCCAUCCUCCGAGGACUUUGGCGAAAAUCAUCGAGUGAGGAAAAUCCCAAACCCCAAACACCUACAAACCCGAAGUGAUUGAGCAUCACUGAAGAGAUUGAUCCUAUGUGGAUCCGAUGCUUGUUACCUUUGAAGACUGUGCUUCUUCCAGACGGUUAGGCGUCAUGGUCUAGAGCAUCCAAGAGGAAUUUUGGAUCGCCGAGUGACCGAAGUCUAUGAAGGUUUGGAAGUCGCCUGAAUACUUACCACGAGUGAUUGGACGAGGUCUGUGUGACCUUAGUUCAAGGAGAAUACGGUGAGGACUUGGUGUCCUGAGCUGCGUGCUCAGCGACUGGGUCUCCGGGACUGUGUGUCCUCAAGUUUAAAUACCCAGCCGCUCCAACCAGACGUACAACUGAGACAACAGUUCGAACUGGUCUACCAAAUCAUUGUCUUCACCAACCUUACUGGUUCUAUUUCCUCAACUCUUUCAUUUCCUCAUUACUGUGUUGAGUGAUUGUUCAUAUCUGUGUUUGAAGACUUUGACUGAAGACUUUCUCAAUUUCCUCAGUUCAAUUUCUUCAGUCUGUUUGUCUUCAUGUUGUGUUAUCCUGUGUCUACGCUUUCUGUACUCUGUGUUUGUCUUCAUUUCAUCAUGAUGACUAUGUGUGUAUUCUGUCAUGCUUACUUCUAAGUACUUAUUCCACUGCAAGUAGUUCUUUUCUAAGGAAUUUCCUCACCGGCAAAUUCCUCAGUGAAGAAUUCAUAAAAAUCGCCUAUUCACCCCCCCUCUAGUCGAUAUAACGCACUUUCAAUUGGUAUCAGAGCAAGGUACUCCCUUGUUCUGUGUGAUUUUGGUUUAACCACCUGGAGUUCUAGUUAUGUCGACUGUAGGAUCGAGGAACGUUUCCUGUCCCAUCUUUGACGGUCAUGAGUAUCCUCGGUGGAAGGCCAUGAUGAAAAAGCGACUCAUGGUUAUGGACAGCAAACUGUGGACCGUCACCGAGAUCGGUCUUACUGAUCUAUGCAAGAGGGCUGAGGCUGAUGACAUUCGCAAGUACACACUGCUUAACCUCACAGCGAAGGAUGUCAUCUGCUCUAGUCUGUCCCGAAAUCAGUUCAGGAACAUCAUGCAUCUCAAUCACGCGAAGCUAAUCUGGGACCGUCUCUCUAAGGUCUGUGAAGGUCGUCGGACUCAUCAUGAUCCGUGGUUUGAGGAUUACAAGGAAUCCCUCAACACGAUGACUUUCGAACCAGAAUCAUCCUCUUCUGCAUCAUGUCUCAUGGCAAAGGGUGACAAGGUAAUCGAAUGUUCCUCAUCCGAGUCUAGUGACGAUGAAUCUGAUGAUGAUGGAUCUGAUGAUGAUAUGAACUUAGUUAUACCAAACUUGUUUGCAUUGCCACUAAACAACAAACGGCCUUGGAAAAGGUUCAAAACAUGCUAGACAAAAGUAAUGAUAUGUUGGGUGAAGAAAUGGAUCUCACUAAAGCCCUGACUGAAAAUCUUCAGAGACUUCAGUCUAAGUUUGACAACCUUCAAAGUCAUCAUAAAACUCUCUUAACUGAUCACGAGAAGCUUUCUUAUGAAUUUCUUCAAAGAAAGCAAGAUCUUGAGAAGCUAAGAGUGAGUUAUGAAGAUCUUCAGAAGGAGCGCGAUUCACUACUUGCUCAACAAAUCAACGCUUCUCAGGAAGAAUUUGUUCCUCCAUGCUUAAAGUGCAUUGAACGUGAAUCUGCUAAUUCUUCACCUGAAUGUUCAAAUGCUUCAAAUGUUACAAAUUCUUCACCUGCCUCUGCUAUCACUAAUUCCUCAUCUGAGGACAUUGCUAGUAUCACUGACGAUGCAGGGCUGAAGGAAUUGUAUAUGACAGGCAUGUACAAAAGCCUCAAAGGGCAUCAGACUCUUUGUGAUGUGCUUAAAAAGCAGAUCCUCAACAGAAACCCUAGGAAAGAGGGUAUUGCCUUUGAGAGGAAACUCAAUGCUGAUGGAACAUAUUGGAAGCCUGAGCAGUACCCUAAUACCUCAUGGGUUGCUGCAAAGGGACCUCCAGUUGAUCCAUCUAACGUGUCUGGCUUUACAUGUGAAUCUCCUCAUUCUUCUGAUGAGUCAUUUGACUCUAACUAUAAACUGUUCAAAAAUCAGAAUGGUGAAGUAUUUGCUAGAUAUGUUGGCACUAACUGCAGGAACGGUUCCCCUAUGAAGAAAAUCUGGGUUCCCAAAAGUUGCCUUGAAAGUCUUCAGGUGGAUGUCCUCAUGACACCACCUGUGAAGAAAAGGAACCCCAGAUCAAACUCUUCAUAUGGACCAAAUUCUUCAUAUGGAUCCAAGUCGUCAUACGGACCAAAUUCCUCACGUGGAUCAAAUUCCUCAAAAGGAUCAAAGUCCUCAUAUGACCAUCAUCGUGCUAAUCCUUCUGUUCCGCAGGGUAGAGCUAAGGGCUAUGAAUAUGUGCAUUAUUCUUCAAAUCAUUGUGUUCAUAAGUCCUCGAAGAAUUUCUCUGCUUAUUCAUAUGCUUACCCUAACCCCUCUUAUGUGAAACAAAGUGGACCGGCGUCCAUGCCACCUUUCUCAUAUGGUGCUCGCAGAGUGAUGAAUUCUUUGCCACCCCUUCAGAUGUGGGUGGUGAAGAAAAGGAACUAAUCUCCUAUGCAGGGUUAGGUCUCCAGUCGUGCUUAAAAUGACUGAAGAAUCUUCUGGAGACCUGAACAGUGCCUGAAAGGACGCAGGCAAAUCAUGAUGAAAUGAACUUUCAUUUCACACGUCCUCACACUGCUUAUCUGUGCUAUUGCUUGAUGAAAUUGAACUGAUGAAAUUGACGUCAUAUUCUUCACUGAUGAAGUAUAUGAGUUUGUAAGAUGCACUAAUUCAUCUUCAGGAUGAUCAACCCAAAGCAAACGAAUGGGUCCUUGAUAGUGGAUGUACAAAUCACAUGACUGGUGACAAGAAUCUCUUGAUGGAUGCUCCCUUAACACCGUCACAUCUGAAGCAUAUCAUCUUCGCUGACAAAGGCAAAAGUCAGGUAUUGGGUCUAGGUAAGGUUGCGAUCUCUAAGGACAUACACAUGGACAAAGUCAUGCUUGUCGAGUCCUUAGGAUACAACCUCAUGUCUGUCUCAAUGCUUUGUGAUCUUGAUAUGGUUGUUGUCUUUGGCAAGUAUCAUUGUGUUGUGAUCAUGGAAGCUGACAAUUCCAAAGUCUUCGAAGGCUUUAGGAGAGGAGACUUGUACAUUGUUGAUUUCUCUACAGGACCACAACCUGCCGUGUGCUUACUUGCAAAAGCUUCAGAAGGCUGGCUAUGGCAUCGACGACUUGGUCACGCAGGCAUGAGGAAUUUGCACACACUUGCGAAGAAGAAGCAUGUCAUUGGCAUUGAUAAUGUCAAAUUCCUCAAGUAUCACUUGUGUGGAGCCUGUGAAGCUUGAAAAAUGACCAAGGCCAAGCAUCCAGCGAAGACUAUCAUGACCACUACUCGUCCAUUCGAAUUGCUUCACAUGGAUCUCUUCAGUCCUAAUCAUUAUUCUGAUGUGACAAAUGAUGCAUCUCUAUAUGGCUUUGUUAUUGUUGAUGAUUAUUCUCGUUACACAUGGGUACACAUUGUUACUUACAAACAUGAAGUGCAGGAAGUCUUCAAACGAUUUUCCUCGAGGGCUUCAACCAACUUUGGUGUGAAGAUCAAGCACAUCAGGAGUGACAAUGGAACUGAGUUCAAGAAUUCCGGUCUUAAUGACUAUCUUGAUGAACUUGGUAUUACUCAUGAGUUAUAUGCUCCUUAUACUCCUCAGCAAAAUGGCGUCGUGGAGCGCAAGAACAGAAAUCUUGUUGAGAUGGCUCGCACUAUGGUUGAUGAAUACAAAAUGCCUCAUCGUUUUUGGAUUGAUGCAAUUGAUACCGUGUGCCACAUCAUCAACAGAGUAUAUCUUCACUAAUUCUUCAAGAAGACUGCCUAUGAACUCCUCAUUGACAAGAAACCCAAUGUGAGUUAUUUCAAAGUCUUCGGUGCUAAAUGUUGGAUUAGAGAUCCUCAUCAUAAUGCUAAAUUCGCACCGAAAGCACAUGAAAGUUUUAUGCUUGGUUACAGAAAGGACUCGCACACCUACAGAGUCUUCAACAACGCUCUUCACAAGGUUCUUGAAACUGUAGAUGUGCGGUUCGAUGAAACUAAUGGCUCGCAAAGAGAGCACCUACCCUCUGUGAUAGAUGAACCAGCACCUGAGGAUUCUAUCAAGUUCAAGGCUACUGAGGAUGUCAUUCCUACCGAAGUAUCUACUGAAGAAUUCAUUCCAGAACGCGAAGAUCGUCGAGUUAAUGCACCUGAGGAAAAUGCUGAAGAAAAUGGUGCUGAAGAAAAUGCUGAUCAAAUUCCUCGACGACAACCAGCUCAUCCUCGCGUUGCAAAAGAAGUGCAAGUUGAAAAGAUCAUCAAUGACAUUGAAGCACCAGGUCCUCUCACCCACUCAAAAGCUUCACAUUGAUCUAACUUUUGUGGGCACUAUGCUUUUGCUCUAUCACAGAGCCCACUAAAGUAGAUGAAGCAUUUCUGGAGCCUGAGUGGAUUCGGGCCAUGCAAGAAGAAUUACAUCAGUUCGAGCUCAACAAUGUCUGGGAACUGGUCAAACGUCCAAAUCCUCGCAAGCAAAAUAUCAUUGGCACAAAGUGGAUCUACCGCAACAAGCAAGAUGAAAAUGGCCUUGUGGUGAGGAAUAAGGCACGACUUGUAGCUCAAGGCUACACAGUGGUUGAAUGAAUUGAUUUCGAUGAAACUUUUGCACCUGUUGCUAGACUUGAGGCUAUUCGCAUAUUACUUGCUUAUGCUAACUGAGGGAGUUCCGGACUAGGGGGUGUCUGGAUAGCCGAACUAUCAUGAUCGGCCGAACUCCAAGACUAUGAAGAUACAAGAUUGAAGACUUCGUCCCGUGUCCGGAUGGGACUUUCCUUGGCGUGGAAGGCAAGCUUGGCGAUACGGAUAUGUAGAUCUGCUACCAUUGUAACUGACUUUGUGUAACCCUAGCCCUCUCCGGUGUCUAUAUAAACCGGAUGGCUUUAGUCCAUAGGACGAACAACAAUCAUACCAUAGGCUAGCUUCUAGGGUUUAGCCUCCUUGAUCUCGUGGUAGAUCCAAUAUUGUAACACACAUCAUCAAUAUUAAUCAAGCAGGACGUAGGGUUUUACCUCCAUCAAGAGGGCCCGAACCUGGGUAAAACAUCGUGUCCCUUGUCUCCUGUUACCAUCCGCCUAGACGCACAGUUCGGGACCCCCUACCCGAGAUCCGCCGGUUUUGACACCGACAUUGGUGCUUUCACUGAGAGUUCCUCUGUGCCAUCACCGAUAGGCUCGAUGGCUUCUUCGAUCAUCAUCAACGACGUAGUCCAGGGUGAGACCUUCCUCCCCGGACAAAUCUUCGUAUUCGGCGGCUUCGCACUGUAGGGAAACAUUUAAUUUCAAAAGAAAAUCCUACGCACACGCAAGAUCAUGGUGAUGGCAUAGCAACGAGAGGGGAGAGUGUUUGUCCACGUACCCUCGUAGACCGUAAGCGGAAGCGUUAUGACAACGCGGUUGAUGUGGUCGUACGUCUUCACGAUCCGACCGAUCCAAGUACCGAACGUACGACACCUUUGAGUUAAGCACACGUUCAGCUCGAUGACGAUCCCUGGGCUCCAAUCCAGCAAAGCUUCGGGGAUGAGUUCCGUCAGCACGACGGCAUGGUGACGAUGAUGAUGUUCUACCGGCACAGGGCUUCGCCUAAACUCCGCGACGAUAUGACCGAGGUGGAAUAUGGUGGAGGGGGGCACCGCACACGGCUAAGGAAUGAUCCGUAGAUCAACUUGUGUGUUCUGGGGUGCCCCCUGCCCUCGUAUAUAAAGGAGGGAGGGGGGAGGUGCGGCCGGCCCCCUAGGACUCCCCCCUCUUGCCUUGGUGGAGAAGGAAAGGGGGAAGGGGAACGAGGAAAGGGGGGCGCCGCCCCCCCCUUCCUUGUCCUAUUCGGACUUAGGGGGGGGGGCGCGGCCUGCCCUGGCCGGCCCUCCUCUUCUCCCUUAUGGCCCACUAAGGCCCAUUAUCCCCCGGGAGGGUUCCGGUAACCCCCCGGUGUUCCGGUAAAAUCCCGAUUUCACCCAGAACUAUUCCGAUGUCCAAACAUAGGCUUCCAAUAUAUCAAUCUUUAUGUCUCGACCAUUUCGAGACUCCUCGUCAUGUCCGUGAUCAAAUCCGGGACUCCGAACAAACUUCGGUACAUCAAAACUUAUAAACUCAUAAUAAAACUGUCAUCGUAACGUUAAGCGUGCGUACCUUAUGGGUUCGAGAACUAUGUAGACAUGACCUAGAACUAUUCUCAGUCAAUAACCAAUAGCGGGACCUGGAUGCCCAUAUUGGUUCGUACACAUUCUACGAAGAUCUUUAUCGGUCAAACCGCAUAACAACAUACGUUGUUCCCUUUGUCAUCGGUAUGUUACUUGCCCGAGAUUUGAUCAUCGGUAUCCAAUACCUAGUUCAACCUCGUUACCUGUAAGUCUCUUUACUCGUUACGUAAUGCAUCAUCCCAUAACCAACUCAUUGGUCACAUUGCUUGCAAGGCUUAUAGUGAUGUGCAUUACCGAGAGGGCCCAGAGAUACCUCUCCGACAUUCGGAGUGACAAAACCUAAUCUCGAAAUACGCCAACUCAACAUGUACCUUCAGAGACACCUGUAGUACUCCUUUAUAAUCACCCAGUUAUGUUGUGACGUUUGGUAGUACCCAAAGUGUUCCUCCGGUAAACGGGAGUUGCAUAAUUCUCAUAGUUACAGGAACAUGUAUAAGUCAUGAAGAAAGCAAUAGCAAUAUACUAAACGAUCAAGUGCUAGGCUAAUGGAAUGGGUCAUGUCAAUCACAUCAUUCUCCUAAUGAUGUGAUCCCACUAAUCAAAUGACAACACAUGUCUAUGGUUAGGAAACAUAACCAUCUUUGAUUAAUGAGCUAGUCAAGUAGAGGCAUACUAGUGACUAUAUGUUUGUCUAUGUAUUCACACAUGUAUCAUGUUUCCGGUUAAUACAAUUCUAGCAUGAAUAAUAAACAUUUAUCAUGAUAUGAGGAAAUAAAUAAUAACUAUAUUAUUGCCUCUAGGGCAUAUUUCCUUCAGUCUCCCACUUGCACUAGAGUCAAUAAUCUAGAUUACAUAGUAAUGAUUCUAACACCCAUGGAGUCUUGGUGCUGAUCAUGUUUUGCUCAUGAGAGAGGCUUAGUCAACGGGUCUGCAACAUUCAGAUCUGUAUGUAUCUUGCAAAUCUCUAUGUCUCCCACUUGGACUUGGUCUCGAAUGGAAUUGAAGCGUCUCUUGAUGUGCUUGGUCCUCUUGUGAAAUUUGGAUUCCUGUGCUAAGGCAAUUGCACCAGUAUUGUCACAGAAGAUUUUCAUUGGUCCCGAUGCACUAGGUAUGACACCUAGAUUGGAAAUGAACUCCUUCAUCCAGACUCCUUCAUUUGCUGCUUCAGAAGCAGCUAUGUACUCCGCUUCACAUGUAGAUCCCGCCACGACGCUUUGUUUAGAACUGCACCAACUUACAGCUCCACCGUUUAAUAAAAACACGUAUCCGGUUUGCGAUUUAGAAUCGUCCGGAUCAGUGUCAAAGCUUGCAUCGACGUAACCAUUUACGACUAGCUCUUUGUCACCUCCAUAUACGAGAAACAUAUCCUUAGUCCUUUUCAGGUAUUUCAGGAUGUUCUUGACCGCUGUCCAGUGAUCCACUCCUGGAUUACUUUGGUUCCUUCCUGCCAAGCUUAUUGCUAAGCAUACGUCAGGUCUGGUACACAGCAUUGCAUACAUGAUAGAGCCUAUGGCUGAAGCAUAGGGAACAUCUUUCAUUUUCUCUCUAUCUUCUGCUGUGGUCGGGCAUUGAGUUUGACUCAACUUCACACCUUGUAGCACGGGCAAGAACCCUUUCUUUGCCUGAUCCAUUUUGAACUUUUUCAAAAUUUUGUCAAGGUAUGUGCUUUGUGAAAGUCCUAUUAAGCGUCUUGAUCUAUCUCUAUAGAUCUUGAUGCCCAAUAUGUAAGCAGCUUCACCGAGGUCUUUCAUUGAAAAACUUUUAUUCAAGUAUCCCUUUAUGCUAUCCAGAAAUUCUAUAUCAUUUCCGAUUAAUAAUAUGUCAUCUACAUAUAAUAUCAGAAAUGCUACAGAGCUCCCACUCACUUUCUUGUAAAUACAGGCUUCUCCAAAAGUCUGUAUAAGACCAUAUGCUUUGAUUACACUAUCAAAACGUUUAUUCCAACUCCGAGAUGCUUGCACCAGUCCAUAAAUGGAUCGCUGGAGCUUGCAUACUUUGUUAGCAUCUUUUGGAUCAACAAAACCUUCUGGCUGCAUCAUAUACAACUCUUCUUCCAGAAAUCCAUUCAAGAACGCAGUUUUGACAUCCAUUUGCCAAAUUUCAUAAUCAUGAAAUGCAGCAAUAGCUAACAUGAUUCAGACAGACUUAAGCAUCACUACGGGUGAGAAAGUCUCAUCGUCUUCAACCCCUUGAACUUGCCGAAAACCUUUCACAACAAGUCGAGCUUUAUAGUCAGUUACAUUACCAUCAGCGUCAGUCUUCUUCUUAAAGAUCCAUUUAUUCUCAAUGGCUUGCCGAUCAUCGGGCAAGUCAACCAAAGUCCAUACUUUGUUUUCAUACAUGGAUCCCAUCUCAGAUUUCAUAGACUCCAGCCAUUUUGCGGAAUCUGGGCUCAUCAUCGCUUCCUCAUAGUUCGUAGGUUCAUCAUGGUAAAGUAACAUGACUUCCAGAAUAGGAUUACCGUACCACUCUGGUGCGGAUCUUACUCUAGUAGACCUACGAGGUUCGGUAGAAACUUGAUCUGAAGUUUCAUGAUCAAUAUCAUUAGCUUCCUCACUAAUUGUUGUAGUCGUCACAGGAACUAGUUCUUGUGAUCAACUACUUUCCAAUAAGGGAGUAGAUACAGUUAUCUCAUCAAGUUCUACUUUCCUCCCACUCACUUCUUUCGAGAGAAACUCCUUCUCUAGAAAGGAUCCGAUUUUAGCAAUGAAAAUCUUGCCCUCAGAUCUGUGAUAGAAGGUGUACCCAAUAGUCUCUUUUGGGUAUCCUAUGAAGACACAUUUCUCCGAUUUGGGUUUGAGCUUAUCUGGUUGAAGUUUCUUCACAUAAGCAUCGCAGCCCCAAACUUUAAGAAACGACAACUUUGGUUUCUUGCCAAACCACAGUUCAUAAGGCGUCGUCUUAACGGAUUUUGAUGGUGCCCUAUUUAACGUGAAUGUGGCCGUCUCUAAAGCAUAACCCCAAAACGAUAGCGGUAAAUCAGUAAGAGACAUCAUAGAUCGCACCAUAUCUAGUAAAGUACGAUUACGACGUUCGGACACACCAUUUCGUUGUGGUGUUCCGGGUGGCGUGAGUUGCGAAACUAUUCCGCAUUGUUUCAAGUGUAGGCCAAACUCGUAACUCAAAUAUUCUCCUCCACGAUCAGAUCGUAGAAAUUUUAUUUUCUUGUUAUGAUGAUUUUCCACUUCACUCUAAAAUUCUUUGAACUUUUCAAAUGUUUCAGACUUGUGUUUCAUCAAGUAGAUAUACCCAUAUCUGCUCAAAUCAUCUGUGAAGGUGAGAAAAUAA